CGGGUUUAUCGUCCAUACCAGUAAUUUAUUUACAAGCAAUUUAUUUUAUGGAUUAAUUGUGUUGUAUGAUGAGUUUUCUUAUAGUAUGCAGAUCAGGACCAGAAGUUCCUUGAUCCUCAUCAUACAAUUACAUCAGGACUUGAAGAUCCUUGAUGAUGAUAUUAAUAUGAGAGCUGGCAGUCUCUCCGGUACUAUAUUUGUAAACAUGUGAUUUGACUUGACGGUCCAUGAUCCCUGACAUGUAAAUAAGGACCUGGGGUUCCUUAAUGAUGUAACAGUACCGUAUUGGUUCAUAGUGCCGUACACAUGAAUAAUAACUGUACUGGCAAAUGUACUGUACACAUGAAUAGAUACGUAUUCAUGACUUGAUGAAUAGUACCGGAUACAUGAAUAGUAACGUAUACAUAAAUAUUAACCAUUUUGGGUAAACCGUCACUAUACAAAAGGGAACCUGCAGUUCCUUAAACUCAUGGAUGAGCAAUUAAAUGAGAUGCCAGAAGUUUCUCAAAAUAUGGACAAUUAUGUAAGGGCUUGAAGUCCAGAAAUAUGUACAGAAAAUUGUAAAAAUGUCCAUACCAUGAGAAUAUGUGAUUUUAGCCCGAAGUUCAAAAUCUAAGGGGAUUGAAUGUCCAUACCAUGAGAAUAUGUGAUUUUGGCCUGAAGUUCAAAAUCUAACAAUGUUGAGAACCUAAAGUUCCAAAAGUUAAAUGGACAACCCUUGAGGUAUUAUUGCAAAUUGUGGUACACCACAUAUUUCUUUGGCAUAAGAAAAUGAUGAAUUUAAUAAAGUUCGAUUAUGUUAUAAUCGACACCUCAAGGAAGAAAUAUAUUUUGUGAAUUCCGGUUGUUAAGAAUACACCGUGAAAUGGAUAAUAUCAAUAUAAACCUCAAAUGAUAAAUUGAGGCUCCCCACAUAUUUUGUUAUAUCUGGGCCGGAAGCCCAUGAACCCAAAUAUAUGAGAGAUCCCAAACUUGAGGUUGUGGGUAUAUAGUAGUUAAUGCUCUUCACUACUAUAUUGCGAUAUUAUCAUGGCUUUUACUCAAUUCAUAUUUCAUGUCCAUUUGAAAGGGCGAAUAAAUUCUGAGUUUGUGUUUAGCCCAGGCCAAAAGUUCCGGGCUCCCAUGCGUUGAAAUAUGAAAUUUGGGAGAGUCGAUAUGGUUAUUUGAACCUAUAAGGCACAAGGUUCCAAACCGUCAUUUUGAAAAGACGUAAAAACCACAGGUGCAAGUUUAAGAAUGUAUGCAAUUAUUAUAACAGGAAAGGAGCAUACAACAGAUGGAUUUUUUCCACCUAUAAUGAAGGUGCAGGCCCUGUAAAAUCUAUAAAAUUACAUCAUGUUCUGGAAGCCUCUGAAGGAAGAGGACGACUCCUCUUAAGCUUAGCCAUAAGCCUCUCGUGGUCUCCCAAAAUUCUUUCAUUGGAGACCUGCAGCAUGUCUAGCCUUCUCAGUGUAUCAACGGAGCACGAACUCACCAGUUUCAACAAGGCAUUAUUCUCUCCUUUAAGUUUCUCAACCUCCUGUUGAGACUCAUGAAGCAUCCUUUGAAGAGACGAAUUUUCAGUUGUUAGCUUCUGAACCUCGUUCGCUCUAGCACGCAAACGAUCAGCCAUGUUAGAAACAGAAGCAGCACUCUGAAUGCUAGAAGCCAUUGAGUCAUCAAUAGCCUCUUCCUCAGACCUCCCUGUUAACAGCAUUUCAUCCAUUGGAGUAAUGAAAUUCCUAGCUACUAUGACAGCAGUAGCAUCAUUCAUCAUCACAGAAUCAUUAACUGUGAGAUGACGAUUUUGGGAUACAAAGGAGGGACGCCAAACUUUGGCAUCACUGGUUGUUGUGGGAGCAUCAUUUAAAUUGAAAUAAUUUGGGCUGGAAGAAGAGGAAGCCAUUUUAAGAACGUUUCGAAGAAAGUCUUAGAAAAACUAAAGUUUCAGAAAAUGAAGGAAGUUGGGUUGAAACGCAGUUGCUCCAAUCAAGUUUUGCAAAGGCAAUAUCUAUAAGAGGAAAUAUGGCUACAGUUUCCAGGAUCCCAAUAUUAUCUCAGAUCCCCAUAUUCUCCUUUUCUUUUCCAGAUUCCAAAACUUCACGCGGCCUUCAUUAAUGUUUGUCGGCACUUUCGGCGUUUCCAAGUAUUAUUUUCGUCAAAGCCGAUCUUGCUUUGCGGAUUUCACGGAGCUACUUUUUCAAAAGUGCCCCAAGAAUCUGACAAUUUUCCUAUGGUUAAUUUGAAAUUCACCGGUUCUACCUAUUCCUCUUAUUUGUGUAUAAAUGUGUUACUGACGAAAUUUUCUUUGUAGAAGACAUCCAGUUUUCUCCAUACCUAGUGAUGCGAUAUCUACUUAUUUUUCUUAUCAGUGAGCACUCAAUAUGCCCGAGAAGCAAGACUAUCUCUGAUCAUCCAUUCAGGAAGUGAGACUAUCCCUGAUCAUGUUUCCGCUACAUCAGGAAACUGUGAAGGCGAUCUUAUGCUCUAAUCUCCGGAAGUCCUUCUAGACUAGGAGAAAUGACAGCUUAUUGUCUGCUCCCACUAGCUUCCUUCCCUGAUUGCUUACCUUAUCUUGCAAUCAAUAUCACAAUUUUUUUUGCAUUUUUUCUCUUUUUGUAACUCUCUGUUCAUAAGAGAUUUUAUUUCUUUAGAAUGAACAUCUGAAGAAAGAAUCCAUGAAGUGAUCCUAACUCUGAGAGUUAUUUGUUUUUGAUAGAGAAAAGAGUUGUGAUUUUGCUCUUGCAGGAUAUAACUAGAUCAUCAAGCGCUACAUUAUAUUUACUGGGCCGAUACAAGCUUGAAUGAUACUUGAGAAAAGUUUCUCCCACCUAAGGAUGUAAGCAAUAUUUGUGUUAUUUUAUGCUUAUAUACUUGUUUGAUAUUUUAUCUUGAAAAGGUAACCAAAUGGGGAGAUAAGUCUGUUCCAAAAGAAUGGCUUGUAUGUAUCCAUGAAUUAUUAACGCAAAUUUUACAGAUUGCAAGUUGGAUACAUUGAUAAUACACUGCACAGAUUAAAGUCCCAUAAGAACAGAAUAUGGGUAUAGCAGUGAUCAAUAUGAUGCACGUCUGUUGCGUAGCAAAUGAUAUGGAUUGAAGUCCCAAAAGGACAAUCCUUUAACAUGUCAAUAUUGAUAUUGUACACGCCUAAUGCAAUGCGUAGCAAAUUAUAUGGGUUAAAGUCCCAUAAUAUGGGUUAAAGUCCCAUAAAUUAAUUGACAUGUAUGUAUUAAUCUGUGGCAUGCCUGCAGCAUGACAGAUAUAUGGGUUCUAAAUGUUCCAACUCCCUAAAUGGAGAUUUUCCACGCCCUAUGUAAAAUAACGCUCCAUUGGAGGUUAUAAUCCACAUUCUCACAUAAUAAAAGCCCCCUGAAGUGGCUUGGGUACCCAAAAGCAAAGAAAUGCUUAUAAUUGAUGCAUGCACAUGCAAAUGAGAAUGGUGGGAUCAUGAAUUGAUGAAUGACAAUUUUUGGUUUUGGAGUAGCUACUCAAAUCAUCAAUGGGCUGUGUUGAUUGGAACCACGUUCAAUUAUUAAAUGUCGACAAUAUCAUUGGCCAAAAUGGAAUGAGGUAAUUCCAUUAUAGAUGAGAAUGAGCGUGAAAGAACAAACCCACAGUACGAACCCCAAAAGAUGUUAAUACUGAAAGUUAUACUUGGGUGUUCGGAAUAAAAGGGAAUAUACCUACUUUGUAUGACACAAUGUUUCUGGCAGAAACAAGGAAUGUUGGGUUUUCUCCAUAUUUACAGAUUCAAUUGUGCCUCCUUAUUGCACAUUUACGGAGACCAACAUGUUAUCUUUAAGGGUUAUUAAAUGCACGGAGCAUAUUGCCAGAAGCGAUUCCCUAAAGAUGUAUAAAUAGCUGGGUAAAAGCUAUAUAAUGUGUCAUAAAGUUUAAUCUCUUUAAACAAAAUCCUUGAAAGGAUUGAAAUUGCAUGAAGCAAGUCCCUAAAGGACAUGUGCCUGAAGCACAAAAUCUGUACUCAAUACUAAUGUGCAUAAAUUGCCUCAGUGAGUACAUUGAUUAUAAUAUGUUUGCAACACAUUAAAGCUUCUGAAGAGUUUAAGAAAUAUUUUUCUCGACCUAACGAUCGAGCAUUGUGCCAAAUGAGAUUUUUUGCUUAUACUAAGAAAGUAUUGAAGCACUUUUUUGAGGAUUAUCCGUUGGACACUUUAAGGAUUUUCCGGAAGUAUACUGGACCAGAUAGAGCUCAACUCCAUCACCACCACUUUGGGAUGAUACUAUGAAAAUUUUUAUGGUCGCUUACUGGAAAAAAGCUAGUCAUGAAGUUUUCAGGGGGAGAUAUUCAUCAACGGGAGCGUGGUUUUAAUAAAGACCUUCGUACACUGUACUCUUUUUCCUUCAUCCAGGUUUUUAUCCCACUGGGUUUUUCCUGGUAAGGUUUUAACGAGGCAGUGUCGCUCAAGAUUGACUCACAGAAGCAGUGUCAACUAUGAUAUUAAUAAAGAUGAUCAACAGUAUGGCUUAAAGAUAUUUUGCCAAGCAUUAGGGGGAGCGUGCUGUCAAUAAAGACCUUUACACACUGUACUCUUUUUCCUUUGUCCAGGUUUUUAUCCCAUUGAAUUUUUCCUGGCAAGGUUUUAACGAGGCAUAUUCCAUACCAUUUGUGGUCUCCAAGGGGGAGUGUUGUAAAGUCAAAGAUGGAUCCCAAAAUGGUAGACCCCACUACCUAAUUGAUUGAAGAACAUCAUAAUGAAAGUAUUGUGGAAGUGGAAUCCAUGUCAUUGCAUAUUCACAGAAAGCCAACAGACUUUGCAUAUAAGCGGGCUUCCUCCUUUGUUGUAAUAGACAGAGAAAACAUUCAAUGAAAAGAUCAGGCUUCUAUGCCUUUUCUCCAUCUCAAUUCUCUCCAUAAUCUCUUUAGUUUACAACAAAGAACUAUAUGAAAUGAAAUUUUCCAUGAAUAGAGGAGGAAGUGGAGCCAACUGAUUACCAAAAACACAGCAGCAUGUCUUGCCUCCUUAAAAUUGAGGAGUACAUAAUCACAAUAAAUGAGAUUUUGACACUUAUUAAAUUCAAAAAGAUAAAAGGAUUAAAGUAAUUCAAAAGGAAAAAAAUUUAAAAAAAUUUAAAAAAUGUCAAAAUUCCAUUUGUUACUGUGAAGAGGAGCUCCUCAAUUUUAAGGAACCAAACUUUUUCCAUUGAGUGAAUGGCUGGAUGUUCAUGACGAACUAGAAUUCCUAAAGGGCCCGUUUGCAGAAGCGGAUGACCGGAGGGACAUGAGGGGUCAUGUGACCACAUGACGGCCGAAAAUUUGGAUGUGGAGGUCCUCAUGCAACCCGAUAGUUGGCUAGUGUGCGACCCCAAGACGCACACCAAUUGCUCGAUGAAAGGCCUGAUAUCGCGGCCGUUUGGAUGAGCCACUUAGACAAUGAAUUUGGGCCUUCAUGGGAUUUAUAAAUCUAUAUAGACUGAGUAACCUAUUUGGCAAGACCGAAGAAUGAAAUUCUGAUAUUACAUGGAAUUUUAAGAUAGGAAGUAACUCAUGUUUAGAGGUUAUUUCGAAAUUCUCCCUUGCGACCGAAUGAAGAAAGCUUUGCUCCUAGGAGGUUUGUGUCAUUGCCUAAUAAUGGUUUGCUAUCAAUCAAUUAGGCUAAUCGGGUAGAGAGUCAAAUGUCAACAAAUCAACGCAUACAGUCCAAUUAGCUGGCAAAAUUUUCCAGUUGCUGACCUUUUUGGGGUCUGAGACUCAUGGGUCAAAGUCUUUCGUGGAAACAUAAUGCUAGCUAGCACCUAAUUCAAGUUCCAGUUUUAUUGUUUUCUAAUUGUUUGUAAACUUCCAGUUCAUUCUUUCCUUAUUUGAUUGUUUUCUCAUCAGGCCCAGCAUUUAUACAGUCCAAAUUCCAAUCAAUAAGCAUAAAAAUUUAAAAAAAGCAUAAGAAAAAGUUCCAAAAUUUAUUUUAAAACAAAUAAGUUGUCACUCAAUUUGCUGCACUAAGUGAUUAAAUUUAAAAAGAGUUUGAUGACCGACCAAAAAGAAAAAGGGUUUGAUGACUCUAGUACUUAUUUUCUUCCUUUAUUUUUUCCCUAACAAAAUAAAUUUGUAUUUCCAUUAAACACGUCAAAUUUUAAAUAGAAGUAUAUAUACCACACUAUAAUUUCUCGAAGGCAGGUGUUUAGUUGCCAUUAGUGUCAUUAAGGUAAAUUCAAAAAAGCUUUAGGCUCAAAUAGGCUCUAAUACCAUGUUAAAAUAAAAUUUAUUUGUUGAUGAUUUAUUCUCUAAAUAGAGAGGAUUUAUACAACAAUAUAAACUAUCUAGAUCUAAGUUAGAAAAAACUACCAUGAAUCUACUGCCCAAAAUCUACAUUUACUCCUUAGAAUCAACUCUAUUAAUUACAGCAGAUUUCUUGUCUCUUUAGUAUUUAGUCAAGAUUUUAUGCUUCAUCUAGCAAUGAGCAUAAAAAAAAAAUCCAAAACUUUUGUAUAUCAAGUGAUGUAACAAUUUCCUAUGGUUUUUUUUAAAAAAAAAUCUUUGUUCGUUAAGAACCUCAUUGUUUUUUUAAGCGAUUAAAUUUUAAAAGAGUUUGAUGACCGACCAAAAAAGUAAAAACAAGAGAUUGAUGACAUUAGUAUUCAUAUAUAUAUAUAUAUAUAUAUAAAGGGUACUAACAAAAAGGCUGAUGCAGUAGAAAGAGACUGCUUUUGCUUCAAUAUGGAUUUCUCUUUAUUGGCUCAUAGCUUUUUUUAUCUUUUUUCUUUUUACUUUGGGAGGAAAGAAACCCUACGAUCCUAGGUGCCAAGCGGGGGAAGGAGAGGGUCAAAACCAGUGUGCUAAUCCCGCAUUGGCUUUCUUGGCUCAUAACUUUAACAAUCAACACAUUAGGACAACAAUCAACACAUUAGGACAUUAAGUCUUGUGCAAGAAUUUAGUUCCUUAUUUUGUUUAAGAGGAUUGCUUUCCUGGUUUUCAAGUUUACUUGUUUCAGACGCUUUCUUCUUAUUUCCCAAGUUAAAAGUUGCUUUUAUAGAAAGAGGCUUGUUGUGAAUUUGUGAUGCAGAAGACCACAAUUGGCUCUGUUCUUGUUAUUGCUUUCACUUUUGUCAAAAGAUCCAUUUUUACCAAACCCCUUUUGUGUGAAUCUGUUGGCUUUUUCUUAUUUGUUGGGGGUGUUGUCGAUAAACCCAAAGCAGGAGGCCAAAUAACUCACACAGAUUUCAGAACAUUUGUCUUGGGUUUCUCAGUCACUUUCAGCUUGUACCGUUUGGCAUAUAAACCCCAUUGAAGGGCAGGAGCCCUCAACAGCACCUCAAAUUGUGACAUUUUAUUUAUUGUAAAAUCCAAUUCACAUCUCUGGAUCUCUCUCUCUCUCUCUCUCUGAGUGUCUGUGACUCAUCUUUUUAAUUAUAUUUUUAUUGGAUAAACUCUUUCUUUAAUGCCAAGAUUCUCUCUUCUCCAACUGAUUCUUCAUCCUUUGUCAACCCAUCUUCUUCUCUCGUGAUCAGCCCAUCACCAUGGUUUGCUCUCUCUCUCUCUCUCUCUCUCUCUCUCUCUCUCUCUCUCUCUCUCUUAUUUUGUGUAGUAAAAACUUUGAUUGGCGUGCAGUCUUUUUCUUUAAUUUGUACUUAUAAUAUGAGCAAAGAAAGGCCCCUUGUGUUUAAAUUUGUGAUCUUUCAAUCGAAGUUUACAACUUUGGCAAUCAUAGUAUUAUGUUUCAGUCAAGCUGGAUGAAUUAAAUUCCUAGUAAUAUUUGUCAUCUAAUUUUUCAUUCGAGCACUGUUUUUUUAUUGGUGGGUAUGUUUUAGUUGCACCAACUUAAUGCACCAAUUAAGUUGCAUGUAUGUUUUAGAAUUAGUGGUGGUUUGAUUAAUUAGUGGCAACUUAAAACUUGUGGCAGUCUCUAGUGCAUUUGAUGCUUGGAUCAUUGGUGAGGCUUGUGACAGCACUGAUAGCUCGGCCGGCAGCCACCAUCACAACCUUGCUCUACCACAGUGAUCUUCUCCCUCGAAAUUUCGACUCAGAGCGAUUACGUCGAUUGGUUCGACAUGAGUACCUUCUUGUUCAAGAAAAUUGCCUUUUUAGUUCUCUCAUCAACGUUUUGAGAUGCUUUUGGUAGCACCUCAUUUGGGUUGGCCAAUGUGAUCGGGGUUUUUUGUAUGCAUAAAAAUAGGGUAUUGGGAUCGAAUGUAGAGACAAGCAACAUAUAGUGUUGAAUUUACUUUUGAAGAAUUGCAAUGGUAACCCGGGAAUUUUCCCUUGCGAUAAAUGCUCAUUUUGCUUGGUUGACCCUCAUUCCAUACCAUUUUUAUAGUCGUUCGAUAUGUGAUCUUGUUGGUGUAGGCUUUCCACUAACCCUCUAGGGCAUCAAUCAAGGCAUCAUUAAACAAUAACAAAGUUUGCCAUGAUUCACUUUUAAGCUAACAAAUCAAUGGCCCGAAAUUGGAUCAAAUUUGGGCCGUCCCAAUAAAUUUAAUGUCAAUGGCCUACCUUAAGAGCUCGUUUAGAGUACGAAAUUGGAUUGGAUAAGAGGUACUUACAUUUAAAGUAUGGUGAAUUAAGAAAUAAAGAAAUUUUGUUUAAUUUGAAUGUAGAAAAUGGAAUACUCCUGGAAAAAAAAAACUUAUCCCAUAUAGCCCCCACAAAAUGAUAGAAUUAAUAUCAACACCUUAUAACUUAUCCCUUCUAAUCUCCUCAAAAUAAAAAAUCAUGCUCCUCUGCCUUCAGUUCCUCGUCCAACAUACUUGAGCCCAAUGGGCUGGCAUGUUGGUGGAAUAUAUGACUAGUGAUCCUAUGAAAUACUGAAAAAUAGUUGAAAAGAAAUAAACAUAAAUGGCAAAGAAAUAAAGAUACAUAUGACUAAAGUAAAAAAUAGGGUACAAUAAUAAGCAGAAAAACAAAAGAACGAAAUGGGCUGGCCCUCAGGUCUGAUGGGCCCAAAACUAAGCCCAACUAUCCCAUUAUUGGUUCCCAUAACAUUGGGUUGCAGACUUGUUUGGUGAUUAAAAAAAAUCAAUAUUAUUAUACAUAUUGAAGAUUUAAGCAUAUUCAAUAACAAAAAUUAAUCAAUUGAGAGACAAAAGAUGCAUAUUAUAAUUAUAAUAUGUUCUGUUUCUUUUUAUAUAAGUGAUAUUGUGGGGCACAAAACCCUUAAAUAUAAGUAGGCCGCUUGUAACUACUUGAACUACAACAUUCUUGCAUAUUAUAUUUCAAUUUGAGUAAUCGCAGCUUAUUUUUCAUGAGCCGGCACAAAUUUUCUAACAUAUAUAAAGAUGCAAUUUCUACUUCAUUUUGUGGCUACAUAUGGAACCCAACUCAACUCCAAAUGGAGUGAAAACAUCAAAAAAACAAGACAAGCCUUUUCAAGAAUGAAGAAUGCCCUUAAGGAACAAUCCCCAUCAUUAGAAAAAAAAAAAAAAAAAAAAACUUACAUGUAAUGGGGAUAUGACUAUUUUGCUAUUCUCGGCCAAUAAUACAAUGACACGUAAAAAUUAUCACAUAUGUCAUUGCGUUAUUGACCAGUACGUUACAUGAGAGUUUACUUUUACCUGAGUUAUAAGUCAUUUACAUAUAACUGUUUAUUUUAAUCCCUAAUUAUGACAGAAAAUGAUAUUCAUCUACACAAGUAGGUAAUUAACUAAAGAAGAAAGUGAGUGAUGAGGACAUGGCCGAUGUGGAUUGAAUUGUCCCAUUGCUCCAUUAAAACUUGUUGUGGUCAUCAUUCCCUACAUGCCACGUGGCUAUAUCCAUCCAUAUAAUUAAAUUAUACUAGCUUCUCUGCACGCGCUUCUGCGUUUGUGAGAGGCUUUUUUUUUUAAAAUUUAAAUUUAUUUUAGAAUUAAAAAAGAUAAUGGAUAGUUGUGUUCCAUAAAAAUAGGAUCCAUUAUCUGAAUUUUCUUUUAAUUUUAAUUUUUUUAAUAUGAAAAAUUGUGAAUUUACCAUAUUAUCCUCAUUUAAUUAAUAAUUUUAAUUCUUAAUGUUUGCAUUAACCAAGGAUAUUUUCUGGUAUUUUGAAUGUUUCACCAUUCUCUGCCUUUUGCUUUAUAUAUAUAGAUUAAAUGCUCAUUGUCAUCAAUAUAUAAUUCAAGACAACGAUAGUGUCUUUUGGUGCUAGGCCAAUCAUACGAGCCAAAAUCUGACGUGGCAUAAGCAGCAUUAGCUGAAGUCGAAGUGCCAACAGUGCUGGGAACUACAAGUUGAUAGAUUGCGUGCAAGAAACCCAACGACUUAUUUUCCAAGCUGCUUUUCAAAGGGUGUCAAAAAGUGUGAUAGCAAAACCCUAACCAGCUCAUUUACGUUUCUAUGCCUGCCAGCUGCUAUUUCUGAGAAUCAAUCAGUGUUUUCUUUCUAUCGGCAACAAUCACAACAACCAAUUCACUGCCAGCUGCUCUUGGGUUUUAUGUUUUGGUUAAGUAAGAGCUUACUAGAGAAAAGCUACGUUCUUUCUAUAUUCCUAAAUACAAAAUCAUUCGACUUUUACUAUAAAAAAAUCAUUAAUUAUAGAGAAAUGCUAUUGUCAGUUGUUCGUUAUAACGAACUAAAAGACGUUGAUCAUUGUAGACCUUGCGAUGGUGACCAGUCAAAGCAAUUUCAACUUAUGAAUAUUGAAUGUAUGGAACUGAAUUCAUGUUCGAAUGUGCCAACGGUCAAUGUUGUGUUUUAUUCCACGACUUUGUGUUUUAUAUAAUUAGAACAAUAAUAAUAGUUUAUUAACCUUUGUAUAAUCAUAUCAUCUUUCGCCCUGCAAAUUAGGUUUAAAUUGACCAGUGUAGGUUGUUGAUACUCAAAAAGUAUUUUUUGUUUCUAGGUCUUUAUGGUCUUGGGAGUAUUUCUUAAUAUUAUAUACAAACUUCCUCAAGUGUUGAGGAGGAAAGUGAAAAUUAUACAUAAUCAAAUAAAAAACAUUAAUCUAUCAAGAUUUAUGUAGACAAAUAAGGUCUACGGGUCUAGCUUAGCGGAAAAGGGCCUUAAUUUGCAGACAAAAAAUCUCAAGUUCAAAUCUCUAUUGCUCAUUAUAUUCUACCUAAUUUAUAUAUGAAUUUUUCCUCAGAAGUCGCAUGUAAUUGAGGUAAUUGAGCAUGUUUUUACCACAAUGAUUCGGCAUCAUUUUGACGACUUUUUGUAACCCUAAAGUCCUGGUUUAUCCCUUGCCAUUAUUCUUUGUACAUUAAUCAUGCUCAAAACCAAAGUUGUUACCUUUUUUCCAACUAAAAGAUGAAACAACUACCGCUUGCCUUCCUUUUUAUUAACUUUUCUUUUUUGGUCGACAAGAUUCACUUUUUUUUUUCUUUCUAGAAAGACCAACCAUUUCUUUUCAAUCCAUUGAUACCAUGUAAUGUUCUCAAAACUCCUAAUUCCAAUUAUACAUUCAAACAAGAAUUCAACUUAAUCAACAACAUAAAUCUUACGUGGAUAGAAAUAAAUUAAUUAAUUAAAUAAAGAUAUUUACGAGCUAGAUGCUCGGAUUGAUUUUAAGUUGGAUGUCUACGAACAUAUUUACUCAUGUGUAAAGCUCAAUUAAAUAAUUUUCGUAUUAAAAUUGAAAUUUUCACACGUAAGAAGACGUGUGAGUAUGCAAAAUAAAAUAAUGAAAUAGAUUAUAAAUUAAUAAUAUUUAUAUUUAAGUAACAGAUAAUAUGCUGACAUGUCACUGUGCCAGCAGGGAUAUGUUGCAGACAGCUGUGCCCUAGCAAGCUUGACCACUUUUCCACCGGGUCACAAGGCUUCUGGACUCGCUUUCGCUUCCAUCACGCAACAUCCUGGUAGUGACAAAUGGAUGCUUAAGAAGGACGCAGACUAUAUGGCCAAAGCUUAUAUAAUAUACAAUGGAAUUUUGCUUUCUUUUAUUCUUAGUUUGAAAAUAAUGAAAAGCAAAUGUGGGAGGGAAAGGUGGUUUUGGGUAAGUCUUUGAUUUUAUUUUCUUGUAGUUUAAAAUAUGUUUUAAUUCCAUUAGGUUUCCUUUGUUAAUUUUAUGUUUCCUAGUUGAGUUAGGGUUUGGUGCCCUACAUAAAGGGCCUAUUUAAUUAGAAUUGUAUUUUUCAGCUUUUUUUCCGUAUUAGUAAUUGAAAUUUUGAGCGUAUACUCGAUAUAAAGGAUUUCGGUUUAUCAUUUUAUUGGAUUUAACGUCUAUCAAUUUUUUUAUUCAUGCUUUCCGCUGAUACGCAUGAGAUACAAAAUUAUAAGGUACGUAAUGAACAAAUACUUGUAAAACAUCAACAAACCACAUAUAGUGCUCAAAGUUGAAUAUAUAUUUUUUUUUUCUAUUUGUGCAACAAUGGUUUACAUAUUUAAGAUUGUUCCAUUAUUGCUCCAUUCUAUAGUGAGCCAGUCGUGGUUCGAACUUCAAAGUAACUUUUUUCUUUUUCUUUUCCUGCACAUAAUUCGGUGGAAUUUUAGUAUGGUUCUCUUUUGGGUGACUAAAGAUGCUCUUGAAGAGGCAAACUUUAACUUGUACAUAGCACAAUGGUCAACCACACUAUUCCAAUUGUGGUGAAUAACUAUCUUAUUGUGCAAAAGACACCCACAAGUUAGUUUUAUCUGAGCAAUGACAAUAUUUAGCUUCUCCUAUAUUCUAAUUUAAAGGAGAAAUACUUACUUUCCUACUUCGGUUUCACUGUCUUUCUCUUUCAAUCUCUCUCUUUAUGUUACCAAUCACAUGAGAUAGAAGGAAAGAUCCGUUAUACCGGAGCAACAAAAUUCUAAAAGAAAAGGACAAUGACACCGAAACAAGGAAGUUCCUCUCCAACUGGAGGGUAAGUGAGUGAACUUACCCCUUUCACCAAAAACCAGAAAAACCGCCAACUUGAGUUUUGAGGUUUAGGUAUAUCUGUCCAUACAUGGUGCCUUGAUUAGGUGUUAAACCUUAUUAUUUGGCUGCUGCAUACCUUUUAAUAUGUGCCAGAUAUACUUGAAGAAUUCCUUGCAGGCCCGUUAAGCCAGGGACAGCUAAUUACGGGCUGCUACCCAUUUUUGUCUUCUUAUCUCAUAAAUUUAGGAACAUAUUUAACCUAAUCAAGUUGAUUGCCUGCCUCUUUCCCCAAAUCUGGUCUUUACCCUAAAACUAAUUUUAAUUUUUGUAUAAUUAAGUUAACAAUAAUUAUUUGUUAACUUAAUUAAGAAGGAUUAAUAGUAAAAAAGAAAUCGAAGAAAAUAUAUUUAAUAAAAAAAUUUGGGACCAAAUCUAUCCCGUAAUAAAACGCUAAAUUCUCGACGCUUUGGUUGCCUGCGAUUGGAUUUACAUUUACCGCCCGCUUCAAAACCCUAACCAAUAGGCCCAAACAAAAAGAGAAAAAAUUUAAACUUAUAUUCCAAAAAUACCCUUCAUAUGUUAGUUAUCCUCAACACGCAAACCAGGUAAUUUUCGCUCUUUUAGUAGCGACUUUCGUAAAAAGAGCGCGAUAAUUAUAUUUUUAGCGGGAGGCUCGCAGAGACAGAGACGGAGACGGAGACAGAGACAGACACAGAGAGAGAGGCCACGUGGCAAAAACCCACGUUCUUUAUUUUUUCUCAGAGCUUCAAUCUGGCAGUAUAUAUAGGUUGUUCAUUGACCCUUCGUCUCCUUCUCCGUUGAGGUUGUUCAUAGGAAAGAUAUAUACAUACACAUAUAUAUAAAUAUUAUAUAUGUGUGUGUAUAGCAGCUCUGUUUCUUGGUUAUUGAGCUCUGUUCUUCGUGGUGCUUCCAAAUUAGAGGCUUUGUUGCUACCCAAUUGCCCAACAAUUUGAACCCAAUUUGCUGAAAACCCCAUUGUUUCUCUGUUUCUUGCUUCAAGUGAUUGUCUUUCUUUCAAUCCCAAAUAUACCCAUUUGCUUUCCUUCUGGGUUUUCUUGAAUUUGAUUCUUGGCGUGACUUGAUGAGUUGAGCCCCAAGUUUUCAAUCUCUCAGUCAUUCUUUCCUUGUUGUUGCAUUCUUAGAAAACCCAUUGCAUUGCAUUAAAGCUUGGUUUCAAACCGGUUUUCAUCUUUCUCUAUUUACCAGCUUUGUGCAUCUCCAGAGUCCUCAGAGAACAAGAUGUUGAGGGGAUUCAGAAAGCCAAAAUUUUUCACCAAAUGGUUUGGCACAAACGCAACUCGAAUUUUUAUUUUUAUUUUUAAAAAAUUCAUUGCUUUUUGUUUCUUGUGUUUCUAAAUUUGGGUCUGUUUGAUGCAGCAAAUCUGAUAUAAAGAUCACGAAGUUGAGGUUUGAGACGAUAAAGAAGAAGAGGAGCGCGGUGCAGAAGUAUUUGAAGAAUGAUAUUGCUGAUCUUCUGAGGAGUGGCCUCGGCAUCAAUGCCUAUGGCAGGGUAUGUUUCUGGUCAAUCUCGUUCUUGGGUUUUGGUUAAUCUCGUCCUGUUGAUCUUUGUUUAUUUUAUUUUCUUUUUGUUGCUUUUUAUGGUCUUGUGUGGCCUGAAAAAUAGGCUUUUUUUCAUGCUCUGCCUCAAGACUUUUUCUGUUGUCCCUUUUGUUUUUCUUUACAAAUAGAUGAUUUUCUGUUUGCUUGCAUUUUGUGCAUAAUUUCGGUAAUGGCGGCAUGUUAUUGUUGCUUCCAUCUGAUGCAUCAUCCAUUCAGAGAGAUUAUCAACUGGUUGUGGGGCCCUGUUUUGUUGUCACCACCACCAUGGCUUGCCCUCACACGUUUCAUCCAUGCAUGAAAUGUACCCUCAUGCUGGUCAUGCAUUUUAUGCCCUCUUUUUACUCAUAAAAUCUUUCUAUGUGGGGAGGGGUGGCAUGAUCUGUUUUGCAUGAUGAAUAUGCGUGGGGCAUGUGAAACAAAUAAUUUUGGCCAAUUGAAAUGGUAAAAUCACCUAUAUGUAUUUAUGUGCCUUGUCUUUUGUACUUGUUUUUAUCUUUUAUCUUUUGUACUCUUCCUUUGAUCUUCUUUCUUGAAUGUGUUAUGCUAGCAAAUAAUGGGUUGCUCUCAUUGUAACAUAGCAGAUGAUCCAUGAUUUACAUUUUGCAUGAAUACUUGUAGCAGUUGUUCACUCACAAAGCGUCCAAAUCAUUAUAUCUUAGUCAAUGCCUAACUCUUCAUUAUUUUUGUGAAUCAGGCUGAGGGGCUUCUGGUUGAGCAAAAUAUGUCUGCCUGCUAUGAAUUAACUGAGAACUUUAUUGGAUGUAUCUCAAAUAAUCUCUCUCUCAUGCAAAACCAGAGGUACUUGUGGCUUCCGAAAUAAUAUUCUUUGCUUUCACUGGCAGAGUUAACUGUCAAUGCCAUACAUGUCUCUGAUCAUAAGUUUGAUAGACUUUUCCACCUUCUCUUAUCUGUUUUUUGUUUUGUAGCGAAUGUCCUGAGGAAUGCAGGGAAGCUGUUCCAUCUUUGAUGUACGCUGCAGCACGAUUUGCUGAUUUGCCAGAACUGCGUGACCUCAGAAAUAUGUUUACUGAAAGAUAUGGAAAUUCCCUUGAACCUUUUGUGAAUAAAGAGGUAAUAAUUCACAACUUGUUACUUGCUCUUUUAAGUUCAUAGUUAAAUUAUACUCAGAAAAUGCAUACUCACUUAAUCUUUUGUGUUUAGCUUGUGGAGAGGUUGAAGGCGAAGCCUCCUACAAAGGAGAUGAAGAUUCAGUUAUUGCAUGACGUAGCACAAGAGUUCUCAAUUGAAUGGGAUUCAAAGGCUUUGGAACAGAAACUGUAUACUCCAUCUCCACUUGACCAAGUAAGUCUACCUAUAUAUCAUUGUUACAAAAUUAUUUGUACUGGAAAGAAUCAAAUGGAAAUAUCAUGAUCUGGCCCAUAAUAUCAAGCUUAUGUAUUCACAGUAUACGUCACCUCAAAUCGUUAUCUCAGCCCCCUGCCUUUGGCGAUUUAACCUUUGAGAAAAGAUGUUGAAGAGUGGACUUUUGUACCUUCCAAAUUUUCUUAGAUGCCAAACAUUUCCGUCUAUCCUGUUUUUCUGUUCCCGCAAUAUGUAUAUUCUAAUGCUUCUUAUGGUCUCUUCUCUUUUUCGCAGGGACAGUGCAGAUAUGGGUCUCCAGGCAACAGUGAUGAUGAUAUGCAGAAAUCACAUAAAAGUAGGGAUAAUUCUUUUCCAAAGAGAAAAAACCAGGAUGCUGGGGACGUAUUGAGCCACAGAACAAAGUAUACUGCAUCAGUAGGAAGUGAAGAUGAAACGACAGAUGUGUCCCAAGACGCACCAAAGUAUUGUUCGAGUUCAGUAGGAAGUACAUCAGGGGAUGAAGCGGAUAACAAGAUGCCCUUCUACUCCAAAUUUGCUCCACCGCCUUACUACAAACCAAAACCUGAAAGAAAGGAAAGCAGCUUUGAGGAACCCACAAAGUUAAACAGCCAUGUUGAAACAGAUCACCAUAAUGAUGUUUCAGUUGGCGAAGAUGAUCCAAAACCAAGAUCAGUUAGGAGGAAAAACUUGAAACCACCACCCGGUCGUGAGAAUCUUGACAGGAAUGAUCCAAGGGAUGAAGAAGAGAGGGUACUGGAUGGGCUUUUGAUGCAUUACAGUAAGAAACAGGCACCCUAUGAAUCGAGACAGAUGAAGGGCAAUCCAAGUCAAGUAGACAAUGAUGCUGGUGAAUCUGCGAACAGAAGCAGAAGAUCUCAGCGAGAUGCUCCAUCAGCCAGAGCAUCAUCUCUUCCACCAGAGCCAACAUCUCCAAUUGAGGCACCGAAAAGGCACGACAGAACCAAUUCCUUGCAACCAGAUGCACAUGUGCACCCGAAACUACCGGAGUAUGAUGAACUGGCAGCUCGAAUUGCAGCGCUUAGAGGAAUAUAGAAGAAGACAGCAGCAUUAGAAGUGUAUCUUUGUAAAAAAAAAAUUACGUUGUGCAUGUCCAUUAUCAUCUUCUCUACCUUCUAUAGGAAAUAUUAUUAGUUUGUUCCAGUUUGAUAUCUCUAUCAAUAUUCAUUCAUUAGUUUACUAAUCAUAUUUCAUUGUAAAAAUCAAAAAAUUGAAUUGGAUAUAUUGAUUUAGUAAUCAACUUGGUUCCUCCAAAAAAAAAAAAAAAAAAAAAGGUUAAAAAAAUUCCAAAUGCGGUAAGUGAUGGUAUUUAAGUAUUUUUAGACCAAAAAAAGUUAAAAAAGAAGGUAUCAACUUGAUUUCUCAGUUUGCUUAUGAAUUUUCCAGAUGCGCUAGCUGCCCAUUCAGUUUUCUUUGCUUGCAAACGCACAACGCAGCGUUUUGACACAGAAUUGGGAUUAGCUUCUAAGAGGAACAUUGCAAUUAGGGUUAGCGUUUGGUUUAUUAGUAAGAUUGGUGUCAAUGGAGAAAGGGUCUUUGGAGACGAUGGGGCAAAUGAACUGCGGAGAUUCACAGGAGGAAGAGCAGGUGAUGAGUGAAGUACACUUGGGCUGCCCAUCUGGUUUCUCUGGACCCCACAUUUCCCGCUUCACCUUCUCCAUCCCGACUGGUUCUGAAUUCAAUCUCCCCUAACUUCUGCUCUGUUUCAAUUUUGCCCUUUUGUUUUUAGGUUUUAUUCAAUUAAAAAAGAAGAAGAAAUAUUUAAGCCUCUAACACAAUUACUUACUCAUAGAACUUGAGCCCAGAAGAUACAAUGGGACUUCCCAAGUUGAACCUGCUUCCACAAAUCAAAUGAUUAGCUUGGACGAGGAUGGUGAUCUUCUUCUCCCUAGACGCAACAGUAAGUUGCCAUUUGCCACUCACACAUGCUGCUUUUGUUUUUAUUUUGACAACUUUUUUUUGCUUCCAUUUAUGAUCUUAAAGACCUCAACCCAAUUUCUCAAUGAGCAUGUUGGGAUUGUUUGUUUGGGUUACUCCUUCAGAUAGACUUGAUUAGUUGUACAUUAGAAUGGGCAUGUGCAUUUGUGCUUGCUGGUUGAUUUGUUUUGAAUUUUAUCCCUUAACCAAAACCAGCAAUUCUUACACAAUAAAGACCAUAUUUUGUUUUUUCCGAUAAUUUUUUUUAUCAAGAUAAGAAGAAUGUAAUUCAUUUUUGAAGAUCAUUUGGGGGUUUUUGUUGUUUUUUUCUCCACAAAAAUGUGCAGAAUUAUCUACUCAGAGUUCUAGCGUGAGCAUCCAGCAUAAUAUCACAUCAUCAAUUCCAAGCGUCGGUUUGCAAGUAAAUUUUGUGAUGUUGGUUUUUAAUUUUAGCUUUUAAGUUUGGUUUAUUUGCAAUGUAUCCCUAGCUAAUCUCAUCUUGCCCCCGCAGGUGUGGAGGGCAGAACUUCUAUUAUCCGAUUUUUUGCUGCAUAAGAUGUUUACAUCAUCUGAACUUGAUGGAACUGUCGCAUUAGAACUUGGUGCUGGUACAGGUACAAUAAUCAUUAGUACUGUCUUUAUUUUAACUGAUUAUAUUGUAUCUGUCCUGGAAUUCGCUCCUUAUAGUUAAUUAUUGAUUCAUUAACAUUCAUUCUAAAUUAACUCGAUGCUUAUUUGUGCAUUCUAGAGAUGAUAUAUACCUCAAAUUUUGGAUAGCUGAACUACACCAUAGGAAUUUAAAAAUGUGAAAAUUCAAAUGCAAUUAGAAGAAUAUGAAGAAAAGCUACGUGAUUUUUCGAGAACUGUAGUUUGGGGGAGGAAAACACUCUAAUGUUAGAAAUCUGACCAUGAUUGUUUCUGAAAAUACCACCAAACAGUUUUGGGAACCAAUGCUACAAGUUCAUUAUCCAUUCAAGAUUUUACGACCAUCAUUUGAGACAUCACUAUAUGUUCAUUGACAGGAAUUUGAAUUCAUUAUCUUUACCAGGGUUGGUGGGUGUAUUACUUGCACGUGUUGCUAAAACAAUCUUUAUAACAGGUACAGUGACCUUGCACUUACUGAAUAUUGUUUCAUGUCCCUUUGUUCUUUGAAAGUUUUUCUAAUUGUAUUUUUCAAACAAGGGUUAGAAGAAAUGUCUUUUUAACGGGUGCUGGAUCAUUUCAGUGUAUGUUACUAGGUUUUUGGAAUCAAAGUUGAUCUUUCAAUGAAUUAUAUGAUUUUUACUAAUGAGUUCCGUGAAUAGUUAUGUUGGAUUUACUUAUUUGAGUCAUACAACUCAAACUUGUGAUUAAUAUAAGGUUGCCUUCUGUGCCAGACCAUGGGAAUGAGGUCCUUGACAACUGUGCUAAGAAUGUCGACCUCAAUUCUGAACUGUUCAGUCAUCGAGCUACAGUUCAUGUACGUGAACUUGAUUGGAUGAAACCCUGGCCCCCAAGAAUGACCCUAGAAGAAUCCUCCCUGGGUAAAAGGUGAAAAUUAUGUAUCAACUUUGAUUGCUUAUAGAAACUAGCAGAAUAACAACAUAUUCAUUUUGGAUAAUUCCUUAUCAUGUUGGCUAGUGCAUUCCCUUUGCUGGGUUUAUUCUAAAUCAUGUAGCUUAACUGUUAACACUAUUUUUUUAUAUCCUAACAUCAUUUAUUGGCAAACAUAAAUCAGUUUUUAAUGAUGUUGCCCAGGUAUUCUUGGACCUUUUCAGAAGUCGAAGCAGCCCAGGAAGCUUCUUUGCUUGUAGCUGCGGAUGUAAUCUACAGUGAUGAUCUAACAGAUGCGUUUUUCAGCACUUUACAGAGAUUAAUGUCUUCGGGUUCAGAAAAGGUAUGUAGAAACCAAAAUCUUAGAAUUUCCGGGGAUGGAGAAUUGAAGUAUCAUGGGUGACAGAAUUCCGAGAAUUUGUCAUGUUUGCCCUUUUUCUUUGCCUUUAAUAUAUCAAAAGUUUAGGAUUUGAAGCAACCAUUACAUGGGUACAUAAAGUGAGCUUGAUCAUGAUUAGAAUAGGUGUCAAUGAGGGUGAUGACUACAUUCCCAUGUUUUCGACAGCCCCUCAUCUUUUUCAGAAACUCCUUUUCAUCCCUAAUAUGUUGAUCAAGUAAAUGGCAGUUAGCUUUUUGUUUCUCAGGUGUUGUACUUAGCAUUGGAAAAACGCUACAACUUCAGUGUUGAUGAUCUCAAUGUUGUUGCAAAUGGUUACUCGCAUUUCCGAAGUUUUUUGCGGUUAGAGGGGGGUAAGCUUGUUCGUGUAUCAAGAUGCACCCAUACAUAUUAUGAGCUUGUUACUUCAUUUUUUCUUAUUUUUUUUGCUUUAUCUUUACGGCUUAUACUUGGUUUUCAAUGGAAGAUGCAGAUUCUGAAGCCCUUGAAUGUGGUUCAAUGCCUUGCUUUGUGGGAAAAUGCAUAGACAUUACACAGAUUCCUCAGUAUGUGAGGGAGUAUGAUAGAGGAACUGAUGUUGAGCUUUGGCAGAUUGAGUAUAACAAAACAAAAUUAUAAUCACUGAGACUGGAUUCAUGUAAGCCUUCUUCUUGUAAAGUCCAUCCAUAUAGUCACCAAAGGUUGCUAGUUAAUUGUUUUCACCUUUUUCGUAAUAGGGGCUUUUAGAAAUAAGCUAAAGUUCCUAUUUGUUUAUAAAAACUAGGGCUGGGCAUAUAUGGACCUGAAAACUGGCCAAACCGAACCGGUUGGCCUGCUUUGGCUUUGGCAAUCUAGACCGAGUCCAACCUUAACAAAAACAUAACCGGUGAGUGCAUGAUCAACAUUUUGGAGUGUCAAUAACAGGUUCGUAAGAAAAGUCUCAUCCACCAACGACUGAUAAUAGAGGGAGGGAGGGGGAUUCAUAUUGAUUUGGCCUUGUGCCAAGUCAAUGACGUGAAGAAAAAGAAACCAAAACACUUGAAAUUGAAACACCAGAUGCAAACUAGUGCUCAAACUCAAAUAACUUCCUUUUUUUCUCCUACCAAAAAAAAAUAUAUAUAUAUAUAUAAAAAAAAAAUUUUCUAAAGUAGGGAUCUAGUACCUUCAUGCCGUAAAUAAUAUUUCUUCUGUUGAAGAAAAAGUUAGUAGGGAUGUCGUCAAUUCCUAACAUGUUUGUAAAUGUCGAGUGCCAAACAAGUAAAAAAGUUAUUCAAACUGAUUGAUAUUUGGUUCGAAUUUGUUCAAAAUUACACUUCUUUUAAUGUAGAACAUUUAACCAAAUGGUUGAUUUAGCUUAGGUUAGGGUUAAUUUUAUUUUUUUAUUGCUGCACUAACUUGUGAGCUUGACCUUCUUAACCUCUCUUAAUUUUGUUUAAUCAACUGGUAAUCUGAAAAACCCCCAUCCCCAAAAAUCCGAACUCCAAUCCCAACACCCCUUGUCCCUUCCUCUCUUUGGAUUCUUUCCCUCACACCACAUCACUCCAAAAUACCAAAAUAAAAAAUAAAAAAAUGGGAAUAAAAUAAACAAUUAACAAGCACUGAACGACGCCGUUUCUAUUGUCCUGAGAACCGAAUCCCCCACACUGUCCCCUUCCGCUUUUUUCUCAUUAUUCUUUCCCAAUCCAACGCAGAAAGAACACGACAGACAGACACAGCACAGCCUCGAAAGUAAAAGCUCCAAGCUUCUUCUUCAACUUAACCCAAAAAAGCUUCUUCUUCAACCCUUCACACACACACACUCUCUCUCUCUCUCUCUCUAAAUCUCCAUCUCUCAUCUUCGUUCUUACACGCCCAAUUUUGCGUUUUCAGCUGAAUAGCGAACAUGGGCUGCACCCAGUCGAAGAUCGAGAACGAAGAAGCAGUGUCCCGAUGCAAAGAGCGGAAGCAGUUCAUGAAGGAAUCGGUGACGUCUCGCAACGCCUUCGCGGCGGCCCACUCCUCCUACGCCAUCUACCUCAAGAACACCGGCGCCGCCUUAAGCGACUACGCCCAGGGCGAAAUCGUGGCCCCCCACCCGGCCCAUAUCCCGGCCCACCAGCCCAAUUUAGCCUCCGUCGCAGCCGCAGCCGCCAUCGGUGUCCCCGCCCCGCCACCUUUCGUCGACAACCUCCCCCCUCCGCCUCCGCCACUCCCCAAAUUCUCCACCUCUCCUCUCCAACGAGCCGCCAGCAUGCCGGAGAUCAAACCCGACCUGCCCAAGCCACGGACCAAGUCCAAGCCCAAGCCCAUCAUCGAGGGGGACGAGGACGAGGACGAUGAGGUGAUUGAGAGUAGCGAGAGCUUGAGGCGGAGGAGUAGGAGCAGCCGGAGCAAGAAAGGGGUUGUGGAGAACGGUGAUCACAAUUUGGAUGGUCCGCCGCCGGUGCCUUCUCCGUCUCCGUCGGUUUCGGUGGAGAGCAGGACGGUACCGCCGCUGCCGCAGCACCGCGACACGCCUUACGACUACUUUUUCUCAGUGGAGGACAUGCCGGCCCCGACGCUGGCCGACGCCGAGGAGAUUGAGCCGAAGUUGUACGAUGAGAGGCCAAAGAUAGUGGAGAAUGAGGAAGAAGAGGAGGCGUUCGAAGAAAGGCCGGAGGGAGUGGAGAAGUAUGAAGAGGAGGAGGUGGAGGUGGAGAGAAGCGCGAAAGUGGAGGAGGUGGUGGUGGCGCCGCAGCUGCCGGUGGUGGAUGAGGUGGGCGGUGGGUCCGUCGGGAAGAGCUUGAAGAAGGCCAAGGCCCCGGUGCCAAAAGGGAGUGUGAAUUUGUUGCAGAUAUUUGCAGAGCUUGAUGACCAUUUUCUCAAGGCUUCAGAGAGUGCCCAUGAUGUUUCCAAGAUGUUGGAGGCCACCAGGCUCCACUAUCACUCGAAUUUUGCUGAUAAUCGAGGUAAUCAAUCACCUUUCUGUGGUUCUGUUGUUGGGUUUUGUUAUGUUUGAGUGGUUUUCUGAUGUUUGGUUUGCAAUUACUGUGAUUACAUUUGCAGGGCAUAUAGAUCACUCUGCUAGAGUGAUGCGUGUUAUUACAUGGAAUCGUUCUUUUAGAGGAAUUCCAAAUGUCGAUGAUGGCAAGGAUGACUUCGACUCCGAUGAGCAUGAAACUCAUGCUACAGUCUUGGAUAAGUUGCUGGCAUGGGAGAAAAAGCUAUAUGACGAAGUCAAGGUACAACAAAACUUAAAUCAGUUUCGUUUUGCUAUCACUGUGAUAGAGAAACCGUGUGAGAAAUAGAUAGAGAGGUUGCGCAUUCAAGUCUCAAAGGUUCUAAGUCUUAAAGGUUCUAACUAUUUAGGGCUCCACUGAUAUCAAUAUUCUGGUUUAAUUACUACAUUGUUCCACACAAUUUCAUGAAAAUGUCUUUGUUGUUUUUGCUCUUGCUGUAGUGUGGUCCUUUGAACUCUACUACUGCUCCGCAAUGAUAUCAGUAUUCAUUACUUGUGCACUCAAUCUAAUUUAGGAUUGACUAUUGUUGGAUAGGCAGGUGAGCUUAUGAAAUUUGAGUACCAAAAGAAGGUUGCCUCGCUGAACAGGCUUAAGAAACGGGGUAAUUCUGAAGCAUCGGAGAAAGCAAAAGCAGCCGUAAGUCAUCUACAUACAAGAUACAUUGUUGACAUGCAGUCUAUGGAUUCAACAGUAUCAGAGAUAAACUCUUUACGAGACGGACGGUUGUACCCAAAACUUGUUCAGCUUGUCGAGGGGUGAGUUUUCAUUUGAUAACAUACAACAAGAUUCUAUUGGUUCAUAUUGUGGGUUGAUUAAGGAUUUGUAGGUGGUUUAAUGGGUGGGGACAAUGAGUCAUAGGAUGAAAUUGCAAAUAAUGAGUUCAAACACCUCAUCUGCAUAUUGCAAGGAGGUGUUUCUGGCAGAAGGUUCAGUAGGUUUUGCAGAAAAUAGGGUGCCUUAUAAUUAAAUUUUGAAAACAAAAAUGAAGAAAAGAACACUAGCAUCUUUUCAUACAUAUAUAUAUUGAUGGAGAGCAUUUCCUUUCAUUGUAUGAGUGGAUGGUGCUACCCUUCUCUAUGAAGACCUAAAAAAAAGUACCUUGUUUAUUCACAUCUUGAACUAGAGAGUUGUACACUAAUCAAUUAAAAUUGAUUCAUAUUUCCUGUGUUGGAGACUAUUCAACAUAAGAUUUCCUUUCCUCCUAUCUUAUGAGUUGAUGGUGCUACCCUUCUUUAUGAAGACCUAUAAAAUAUUAUCUUGUUUGUUCAUAUCUAUAUGGAAACCUAUAUAUGGUGUCCUAAUGUUUUGUAGAUUUUAGAUUUUAGUGCUCCAGUUUAUUUAUCUUUUGGUUAGUCAACUUAAAGGGACACUGCCCGGCUAGGCUCUUGGUAGUUGUGGACUUUACCACUGAACUGUUCUUGUAGGAUUUUGCAUCUAUCUUCAAACGUACAAUUUGAAACCACUAAUAAAUGAUUAACGGACUGCAGGAUGGCUACUAUGUGGGAAAUCAUGCGAAUUCACCAUGAGACCCAAUCAAAGAGGGUAACAGCCCUCAGGUCUUUUGACGUCUCCCAUUGUCCCAAGCAAACAAGUCAGCACCAUCAUGAGCGCACAAUCCAGCUGCUUGGUGUUGUGCAAGGGUGGCAUUCUGAGAUUGGGAAGCUUGUGGCUUAUCAAAAGGUGUACAUCAAGGCCCUCAACAAUUGGUUAAAACUCAAUCUAAUCCCUAUUGAGAGCAGCUUGAAGGAGAAAGUUUCUUCCCCACCAAGAAUUCAACGACCCCCCAUUCAGGGACUCCUCCUUGCGUGGCAGGAUCAUCUAGAGAAACUUCCAGAUGAUGUCGCAAGAACUGCUAUACAUAACUUUGGUGCUGUAAUAAGUACUAUAGUGACUCUCCAAGAGGAUGAAAUUAAAAUGAAGGACAAAUGUGAAGAAACCCGGAAAGAGCUUGCCCGCAAGACAAGACAUUUUGAAGACUGGUGCAAUAAAAAUAUGCACAAGACCAUUCCGGACGAAAUAGAUCCAGACGGGCCAGAAGGCCACACUCGAAAUGAUGUGGUUGCAGAAAAGCAGUUUGCUGUGGAAAUAGUGAAGAAGAGGUUAGAAGAGGAGGAGGAAGCCUAUGAACGGCUAUGCAUUCAGGUGAGAGAGAAGUCGAUAGCAAGUAUUAAAUCUCGCUUACCGGAACUGUUUAGGGCAUUGUCGGAUUUUGCUUCUUCGUGUUCAGAAAUGUACAGAAGCUUGAGGCCUAGAUCACCUCAUAGUCCAAGUCAGAGCUCAGCAAGAGAGUAAGUUUGUAUGUAUAAUUUGCCCAUUUGUUUUUUGUUUUCAUUUUAAUAAUUUUUGUCCUGAUUCUAGUGUCAAUUUGUAUCUAUCGGUAACUUAUAGGAUUUUGCAAUUUUCAUAUGGGACAAGCCCUGAAAAUCAUAUACGUGAAGUUGAUUUCAAUAUAUUGAGGAAGGACCAUUUUUUUGUAUUCCUUUAACAAUUUAGAAACGUUUUCCUUUUUCUAAUUUUUAAGCUUUUAAUCAAUGCAAUCAUGGCUGCUUCUAUCUCUAUGGCUGCACUCAGCUGCACAUGUCGUUUUGUUAAUUUUGUAGAAGGUUGAAAUUGUAAUUAAGGUUUUUUUAAAAUAAAAAUUUCUGAAAAAUAAAAUAAAGCCACUCCUUUAGAUUUGUUUUUUCCACCGCAUUUAUGUACUUUACAGAAAGAAAUAGGAGUAAUGGAGAAUCAUGGAAGCAGGACUAUAUACCUUUCUUCCCUCCAAAGAAAGAAUCCAGUGGUCUAAAAUAGUCCAGUACAUCAAAACUGCAAAGAGGUCAAGUUGGCACAUAGCUUUAACAUAUUGGUCAUUGGAGGGCAUGAGAUCCGAGUACGUUACAUGACUAGGAACGAGCGAGAUUGAUACAUGUUUGUAUACAACCGAAGUACGUUACCUGACUAGGAACGAGUGAGAUUGAUACAUGUUUGUAUACAACCGGUAUCCCUUAAUUACAUAGCUUUUUGUUUUGAAAAGAAGUUGGCAACCUAGAUCUUUUAGAUAAAAGGGAUGGAUGGUUACAAAACACACACAAGAUGAAGAAAAAGAAAGAGGAAUAAGCCAUUUACAGAUGAGCAGAUCCAUCCAACCUAACAUGUAUGGUGGAACCAACUUCUACUUCAAGCAUUGGAUCUUCUAUCUCAGAUAAGAAUAAUGUUAAGUAAUGUAAUAGAUGGGCUAAGACUUUAGAUCAAGCUUAGUCAAUUUCCACAUCUUGCCUCGUGCUUGCGCAAGCUUUUCUGGUGUUGUGUUAGUUUAAAUAACCUCCAAAUAGGAAGAAGAACAACUCUAUAACAAUAAAGAGGUAGUUAGGGGCCAAUUUGGCAAACAUUUUGUUUUUGCUUUUUUUGUUUGUCUUGUGUUAAUUUUAUCUAUUUCUCUCAUUUAAUUAUAGCGGACCAUUUUAUCUUCGUAAAUACGGUAUCAAAGAAAUAAAUCAUGAGGUCAUAUGCUGAAUAAAUUUAUUAAUUUCUAUUUGUUGUAUCAUAUGUGUUUUGUUGGUGAGGGCUCUAUUUCCAAUUUAUGCUUCAUAUGGUUUCUUUGAACAUAAGUCACAUAAGAUGAUCAAAGGCAGCAUGGAUAUUCAUAUUCUGCAGAGCUUAUACGAAUUUACAGAUGUUACAAGUUUGUUCUUAAACUUUUGAAAACUUUUAGGCAAGUACUUCUUUGAUUUCCUGUGAGCAAUUGUUGAGACUCCCUCUCAACACUUUGAAGAAAACAACCCCUGAAUCAAUAAGAGGCAAAAUGGGAUCUUUCAAGAAACAGACUGCCGCAGUGCAUGGUCGUCACCCCAAGCAACAAAAUGACUUUCUUCUUCUGUCUCGUGUUUCGUUGAUUAGAUUCACUCCGGGAGGCUUUGAGGGGCAAGCUCUUGCUAAUCUCUUUGCUGCAUAGGUGGAAAGGAACAUGAUGUGUAAGCAUUGCACAUCCGAAAUUCUAAACACUGAACUCUGAAUGUUAGAACGAAAAAUCGAAAACAGAAGACCUUCAAGUUAUUACUGUCAUUGUACCUGGAGGAUGCGACCAAACAAAUUAAAUUUUCUGAAUGCCAACAAUUCUACAUGGUCCUAAGUCAUUAUGAUUGAUACAACUCUACGCGAACAAGUCUGGACUCAUGCCGGUUUUUUAUUUGCUGCAAUUCAACUUGCAUAGAAUUUGGAUUACAAAAACAAUGUCUAAUGUUUGAAACAGUAAAUUUCCCUUGUGAUGACCCUGCUAUCCUUAGGCAAUGUUGUAACCGAACCAGAUUUUAUCUUCAGAUAAUAAUUCUGAAAGUUACCUAUUUCAUGGAAUAGCUCAUUGAUAUUCUGUGCAGUUUUGGCUGAUGUUUCCAAGAAAAACAUCCCGUUGUCUUGAGCAAAUUGCUCCCCUUCCUGCAAUCCAAUUACAAGAAAAAUAAAACACAAAACCUUUAAUUUAAAUACAAGUUCCAAACUAACAAACAUCAAAACGUUAUUGUGCAUCCAGAUCUGAUAGUCAAUAUGACUGCAAAUACGUUCAUCUUACUACACACUCAUGCAGAUGGAAAGAAGGAGCGAAAGGGAAAUUGUGGAGAAGCUGUUGCAAAUACCUCAUUCUCGACCUCUCUUUUCGCCUCCAAGUCGCACUUAUUUGCCACCAACGCCAUCACUAAGCUUAAAUUCCCUGGAAAGGGUGAUAAACAAUGCAUCAUGUUUCAUUUCAAGAACAAAAAUCAUUCCAGAAUAAGCACAGUGAAAAUACCAAUUAUUUUUCAAAAACUGAAAAAUCAUCCCAAAACACACUUACUACUUUAAUAUAUAACAUAGGGUCCACAGACAUGUGCAAGAAAAGGGCUAAACCAGGCUGUUUCAAAUUGUACUAGCCAGAGAAAAGCAAUCAAAAUUUGUGACAGCAGAGGGUAGGCAAAAAAGACGUAUCAGGGCCUGCCACAGAUUGAAGAUACAAAUAAUACAAUUUUAAACCAGAAAAGGUGACAAACAGCCUGAAAAUUUUAGAUGAGAAUUGGAACUAAGGAGGAGAUCGCAAGAGCAAGGUUGGUUUGUUUAACUCUUUCUACUUUACAUACGUAUAGGGCAACCGUGUGAGUAAAUUGGUAUCUUGGUUUUCCAUAUUUAAAACUGAGUUUAGAAAGGAAAAACAUGGUAAGAACACAACUUUUUCAAUUUCUAUGGUCUCACCUUGCCUUUGCAAUUCUUGAACCCAUUUUUUGGCUCGAGUGAACGUAUCCUGAGGCCAGUGCACAUUCUAAUCAGUGAACCAGAUAUAAUUGCAAUAUAAUAUAACUGAGUAUUGAAUUGAAAAUACCUGCCAUCACCUUCAAAUCUUCAAAUCAGAAUUUACAGCAUACAACUUACAAUCAUAUUCAAGUUUGGAAAACCUAAAUUUACUUAAUUUUAUAUACCUUUGGAAUCUGGAUUAAAAAAAGGUGAAGCUAGUUUACUAUACUCGAACAGCAAAUAGGCAACUUAAGGGAGCUAAAUCCGAUAUACGUACAUCAUAAGUCACAGUCAUCAGCUGUUGCAUACAUUACACAAGCACAUAUACUCUUUUAAAAUUUAAAGAAAGAGAGGGUGGAAUUCAUUAGAAUGAAUGAACAAAACAUAAGUUUGGUUCAUAGGUACCGUGCUUGAGAUGUCAUACACGACUACAGCGGCUGCUGCACCACGAUAGUACAUAGGAGCUAAGCUAUGAUACCGUUCUUGUCCUGCUGUGUCCCAUAUAUCAAACUUCACAGUGGCUUCACUUAACGACAGUAUCUGAGUGAAAAAAGCUGCUCCUAUUGUUGGUUCCUGCAUGAAAACAAGCACCAAGAUCCUCAGUUGUGAAAUUUCACAUAAAUAAGAAAAAAGGAAAGAUUUUAUCGAAAAUACAAAGAGGUCAACAAAAACCUGGUGAUCAAAAAACUGGCCUUUGACAAAUCUUAAUACCAAGCUGGUUUUUCCAGUUCCCAUGUCCCCUAGAAGCACCUGAAUAAGAAUCAUUCAAGAAAUUUAGAAAUGAGCUGUCUUUAUGGGACAAUUCAACUAACUACAAAUGAAAAUUGUCAUUGUACUACAUUCUCGUAACUUGUAAGCACUGCUCUCAUCAAGGAAGUAAUGCAACAAAAACCAAAAGGUUCUCCUAAUAUGCUAUUAAUUCAACCUGAGAGUCUAUGCUUCUCAAAAUACAGGUAAGAGAUCAGCUCCUACAGAAACUACUGGACAGUCUAGAGUAAGAAUGGCACACCUACAAAUGCCGGUGUAUGCUGAUAUAAAUCUGCUGUUUGAAUUGCCACACUGCUUUGUACUUAUUUCUUUUUCUUUUUUUGGGGUGCAAAUCAUGAAUUGGGGCAUUUCAAAAUGGUGGAGCCUCAAAUCAGCACUUCUGUGGGGUUUAAUUUUUCCAGCAUGCAGUUGAAAAAAAGAAAAUGGAUAUCUACAAUUUACAUCAAAUUUUGAAUUCUAGGCAAUACACACAAUAAGGUUCUUCUCUUAAGCAAUUGGAAUUAGAGAAGUCGAUGGAUUAUAGCACCAACCUAUAGUAGCAAAUGUGCUAAAAGAGUUAUUGCACAGAUUAUUAAGGGAUUGAAAAGAAUAAAUAAAAUUAAACAGAAUACUCAAAGUAAUGAAUUGGAAAUAAGAAAGGGUAAGACAUACCCACCAGUUUGGCUUGUAUGAUCUUGUUGCCAGGCCUGGCCAUUGGACCACCUUGAUCAAAAUUGUCCGAGGUUGAAGGAAAGAGAGAGCUUUACAGAGAGAGAGAGAGAGAGAAGUUGCUGUUGUCAAAGAGACAUAAAAGUUGUAUGUGAAUUUUCAUAGAAAAUUAAUAGAUGGAACUGGAAAUUGCACAAAGAAAAGAAAACACUCAAUCCCCAGCAGUGGACUGGUAGUUCUGUAAUCUGUUGACUGGUAGUUUUGUUGCACUUCUCCAAUCUCAAUGAAGAAAGCUUUGAAAAAAAAUGAAGAGAGCAUUCCUUGUCGGCCCAUGUGUCUUUGCUUUAGAGAAAGACUUUUAUGCAAUGGGGAUAGUAAUUUUGUUAUUUUCGGUCAAUAAUACAAUAAUUGUGAGAUAACAAAUUUGACAUUGUGUUAUUGGUCGGGAUAACACUUUCAAGUAACGAAUAUAGUACUCUUUGCUAUACCCAACCAAUGACAUAAUGAUAUAUAAAAUAACUUUUUUACGUGCUAUUAUGUUAUUGGCUAGGUUAGAAAUAAAUUUUUCUGCUUCACAAGGGCCUUAUUAAUUAUAUGAGUCCAUUGGAUAUUAUGGGACCUACUGAGUACUAACUGGGUGCUGCAUAGAUUGGAGAUAUUGUAUAUGAAUGAAUUUCUCUGCAUUGUACCCAAAAUUCAUGUGCUGGUCGAAGUUAUAUUUUAUUUCUCUUAUGCUAUCAAAAUCAUGCAGUCUGAAAAAACAAAAAGAAAAUUUAUGGAUGAAUAGAAAACAAAAAAUUAUUAUUUCUUGAUCUUAACACUUAAAUAGAAAAAGAAAAAGAAAAAGAAAAAAAAAAGAGAAUAUUUAAAAAACAGAGAGAGAAAUGCCGAAUACUACAUAAGCCAAGGUCAACUUGCAGAGGGUGUUCAUUUUGUUUCACUUCUGGAUGGGGGUCUAGGGAGGGAAGGAUAGAAGAAUUAAAUUUUCUUCUUGGAGCAACGCUUCACUACAAUAAGAAUCAAGCCCAAAAUGUAGUCUAUUUUGUUGUUAUUUUUUGAGCACAAGGAGUCACCAACUAGUUCUUAGUCUAUUAGAUCGUGUCACAUUCGUUCGUGCUAUUUAAUAAUGUGUUGAACUUAAUUUGAUGAAUUGAAUUUAGAUAGCUAAUAAAAGUUAUUUUAUAUCACUCUCGGACAGUGAAUAGAUCGAUUUAUCCAAUUUUUGAAGGAAUGGAUCAUUAUAUCUUAGUGUUUGAUCUUUAUAUGAUAAAAUUCCAAAAUAACACACAAAAGAAUUAAUCCACUUCGAGCAACGCUUCACCACCAACUUAAUUAUUAGAGAGGGUCUUGGUAACGAAAUUUAUAAUAGAAUUUUUGGCCUUUCCUUGGUGGUGUUUUCAUUGGUUUUCUUGUACUUGAAGUAGAAGUUGAAUACUUUUGCCCUUGUCACUUUGUUGCUCUCGUCAAGAAAAAGGUUGUUUGUUAUUUCACACUUUGUUUUUUCCUGGGUGGCUUACAACAAAUAAUGAAAAGAUACCAACUCCUGCUUCCAUCAUCUCUUCCAAAUUGAUGUUCCAACUUCCAAUAUCUUCUUGUCAUUUUUCCCCACACUUCUUUUCUUCUCUCUUUUUUUUUUUUUUGUUUUUUUUUCUCUCUUCAAUAUAUUUCUUAUUAAAUAUCUUUCAGGUUUCAGCAAUGAUCGUAGUAAGAGAUUAGUUUGUUUUCAUUCUGAAUCUCGCAUGAACUCUAACAAUUGUUUCCAUUAAUUUGAGUUCUUCUAUAUCUUUCAUCUUUCCCCUUUUUGUGUUUUAUGUAUUUAUUUAAAGUUUUUUUAUUUAAACUCCACACUUUUCUUUGUUCAUUCCAAUACUUAAAUCAUUAAGCUCUUAAGUUUUAUUAUUGUGUAAAAAGAUAAAAAAGGUCAUCGAACUUAAUACGUAACCUUAUAGUACAUCUAUACACACACCCCACCCACCACUCUUCAUAUUAAGUUUAAGAAAAACACAAACUCCUCUACACCCUAUUGCUUGAGAAAGUGCUAGCGGAUGUGGAGUGAUAUUUUAUUCCUGAAAACAUGGCCUAGGGAAGACAACAAAACUAGACUUAAUUUAUCUCCAUAGACAACUAGAACCUAUGUACUUGAUAGAAACAGAAUUUCAAGGCAGUGACAAUAAGUAACCAAGCAUUUAGUUUGAGUUCAUAUAUUAAGUUGUUUUCUUCAUCAAGUGCCAAGACUAUGAACAACAAGAACCCAACUGCUCCUAGCAAAAGAAACCAAAAGAAAGGACCUGCAAAGAUAAACUGAUAUGACCAAUUCAAGGGCCAAAACUUGUAAUUGCCAACAUGCUGAAGUUCUAAUUGUCAACAUUCUCAAUGGGGCUAGCUAAAUCAGUCUUCUGCUGUACAUGGAUUACAGCAGCAGACUAGGGAAGAGUUAGGAACAAAACUAUUUCACUCCUACUAGCAGAGAAAUCGAAAUCAGCAUAAGUCUCAUGCACCAAUUGUUGUAGUACAGGCAAAACCCUGAUGCCUUGGAACAUCAAAUUUAGGGAUUUUAGUGAACAACACAACAAACAUAUGAACAACUGGAUCAAACUGUAAAAAUUUGCAUAACUUCUCAGCCAUACACGCUCAAAAUUCAGCCAAAUCAAUAAAACUAAAUUCACACAACCAAUCAUUUAUUCAUCCAUGGUAAGGAGCAAGAUAGCUGGGUGUGAGGUUGAUGUGUUUUUUAUUUUAUUUUUUUCUAUUGGGUGUGUAUUUAUGGAUAGUUUGGAAAGAUAGUGGGGUUUUCUUAGAAAUUGUGAAAAUUUGAAUUAGAAGUUGGGUGAACAAAGAGAAUUGCGGGAGUUUUUUUUUUUUUUUUUUUUUUUGUCAACCAUGAAUUAGAUUCCAAGCCAAAAGGCAACUGCAAGGAAAUACACAGAAAACAGAAAUUGAGACAAACUACAGAAGCUCUUACAUCUGAAUCGCUACAAUCCAGCAAAAGAAGGAAAGCUCCUACUCUAUAAACAAAAAUUAAGGAGGACCUGGAAGACCAUCAGACACCAAAACAUGUAUGAGAGACAGCAGUGGUUGAGUAACCCAGCUUUCCUGCUCCACUGCUCGGCAACCUAUCGUUGCAGCCUCAUGAGCUGCUCGAUUUGAACUCCUUUGAACCCAACACCAAAAAACACUUCUGAACUGAUCAGCUCUACGCUAGAUAACCUCAAUAGAAGGCCUGAUAGUCCAGGCACGGUUCCUUAUAUCCCCCUUGAUCCCGUCCACAAGGGUCUUUGAUUCAGAUUCCACGUAGACAUCACUAUAGCCAAGAUUGGCCUCAAACUCCAGCCCCAUGACAGCUGCUUAAGCCUCCACCUCAAGAGCAGAGUGACCCACUCGUGAUGCAGCCAAGCCUCCUAGAAACUCCCCAACUGAAUUACGAAUCACCACUCCAACACCAGCUUUUCUACCAUUGCUUUGCCAACUCCCAUCAAUAUUAACUUUAACAAAACCCAUUGGCGGCGGCUCCCACGAGCAGACCUCACCAAUUAAAAGGGAACGACUCGUCACACUAUUUGCAUUACCUUGCCACACUUUCUAAAAUUCCACCUUUGCCUUACCUGCUGUUUCAACCACUUUGCAUGGAUCAAUUCUAUAACCUUCCAUGAUAGCUUUGCAUCUGGUCUUCCAGAUUUCCCAAAGAAAGAAACUUAGCAUAGUAAGAAUUUUGAGGUUGGGAAAGUGGCUUUGGCGUGGAGGUUGACAAGGUGGUGAGUUGUUGACAGAAAGAAAUAGAGGAGAGAAGAGUGGUGGCAACUGGGAUAGGCGGGGAUGGUGGUGUCUUGUUUAUUUUGUUAGUUUUUAGGUUUAUUUGGGUUUUGUUUUGAGGAGAUUUGAGUAUAUUUAACUCAAUUUUUGGUUAUAUUUGAAAAUUUUUAUAAAAACUGACAUUUAUCAAAGUAGGAGGCAAAUUUUAGAUUUUAUUUAUUUAUAAAAACUCGUUUUUAGAGUGUGAUAAGACUUUCAUUACGACAAGGUGACUCUCAAACUGAAUCCACUUCAAAUCAAUGGAGCAAAUCUCACUUAACCAAAUUGAACCAUGAACCCUAUUCCAAUCAAUAGAGCAAACCCAGCUCUCGCUCAUAUAUGUUGUUCUAUUGUAACAACGAGGUUCAAAACACACUUUUUUUAACAUUUACUUGAACUAAAAAUUGCUUAAUAUCCUCCAUAAUAUUAUUCCCGACCGUUACCCAACUUUUUUUUUUUCUUUUGAAUUAGGCUGCUAAUCCUUUUUCAAACAAAACACAAACAAAAGGUACCUUGUAGCACUCAUAAUGAUAAAAGGAACGUUUGAAAAUUACAUCAUGUCCGAUAUGAAAAUAACUAGGAAAUAGGAACUUGGAAGCAACAACUCUACCCCACAGGAGUUUCCCCACAUCCAAACAAAACCCCUCAAAAGUGCAUCCAAACAAAACCCAAAAAUACUCUAAACACCUACCCCUCUCCCGACCCAACUUCACACGCACAACAAAACCCCCCCAUGGCAACCCCCAACUCACAACCACCACCACCACCUCAAUACAUCCCAUUACUCUCCGACCAAAACUACGUCGUUUCACCAGCAUCACUUCCUCACUCCCACCUCCCACGACGACGUCGUACAAUCUGCCUCGGCAUCACUCUCCUAUUAGUCCUAGCAGCCGCCAGCUGCUCCGCUUUCCUCUUCUGGCCGUCCGAUCCCUCCCUCAAGAUCGUACGGCUGCGGCUUAACAGAGUCCAAGUCCACACGCGGCCGCACGUGGCCAUCGACGUGUCCAUGUUAGUGACGAUUAAGGUCCGAAACGGCGACGUUUACAGAAUGGACUACGACGCGCUGGAGGUGGCGGUUGGGUACAGAGGGAGGAGUCUGGGGCACGUGACGUUCCAGCGGGGUCACGUGCGGGCGUUUGGUUCGUCCUACAUGGAAGCGGAGGUGGAAUUCAAUGGGGUCGGGGUGUUCUCUGACGUGGUGCUCCUGCUCGAGGACUUGGCUAAAGGAAAGGUACCGUUUGAUACUGUUACGGAGGUCCACGGGCGGCUGGGCUUCCUGUUCUUUGAGUUCCCUUUGCAGGUACGUAAGCUUAAUUAGUUUUGUAGAGUAUAAUUAAUUAAAUUAAUUAAGGUUUUAAGUUGAGAUUGGUUAAUGAUUUAUUGUUAAAGAAAGAAAGACUUGGAAGUAAUGUUUGUGAUUUUGGUUGGGAAACUUGGCAGGCAAGGGUGUCUUGUGAAGUCAUGGUGAACACAGUGAAUCAGACAAUUUUGCGACAUAAUUGUUACGAGGUGAGCAAGAGAUGCAUACGACCUACAUCUAAUGAGAUUUAUUCAUUAAUCGAUAUGACAUGUACAUUUCAUUUGCCGCAUAGUGUGGUACUCAAAUACCAUAUAAAAAUGUGAUCUAAAAUGAUCAGAGCUGAUUAACAUAAACUCGUUACGCUACUUUUUAACUUAAGUAAUAGAUAAGUUGAGUUAGUGUCACAAAGAUCAAACUUCUUUUACUAUGUAGGUCAAACAAAUUGGGUUAGUUUUAUCAUGUGAUCACUUUGUUAGAGUUAAUUAUUUAAGUAGCCAUUUCCAUACUCUCAAUUUAGCUUUUAUCACACUAAAAUAAGUAUUUUAAAACUUUUCAUAAACUCACAAUGGAAAUGCGAAAGGCUAAUGUAGGAAUAAUUCCAUAUUUCAUUGACUAUGCUACUGAUACCAUAGAUAUGUAAAAUAAUUCUUAUAUGCAACAGCAUUUAUAGAUUUGGUUUUCUUUGUUUUGUGUUUGCAAUGUAGUGAUGAAGUUGGGCGCAGAAAGCUAGAAGCUUCAAUGGGUCAUGGGCUUGGUGUUUGCUCCAUGCAAUGAUUUACACACUGAGAAAACUUGGGGCUCUGUGAAAUUCACAAAUCGCAACAUGCAUAUAUGCCGACUGCAUGCCAUGUGUGAUUAUGAAAUGGGAUAUUGUAUUGGUGAGGGGAGGGCAAUUUGUGUGUGUAAAAUAACUGUAGGAAAACAACAUUAUUCAACCCUUACCAAAAUGGGGUGAGAUGAGCAUUUUGGAUAUGUAAAACAAGCUUUUUUAUUUGCUUUGAUUCGUUAGCCAUGGAAGGAUUGAACUUUAUGCUAAUUUCUCUCUCCUCCUCAGCAAAUGUUGAGUGACUAUUCACAAAAUCACCACUUUAACUAGUUUGUUGGAGCACUAAUCUUAUGAAACUUUUGGAUUCUAAUCUUAGGUCAAAUUGGAUAGGAUAGGAUACAAACUUAACAUCGUAAGGUGAUUGAGCGGUUAUCUCUGCACCUAAAGUUUUGUGUUCGAAUUUCCUCUCCUUCAAUAUCGCUUGUAUUUAAAAUUUAAAAAAGUACUUGCCCAAGCAACCACACAACUAUCAUAUCGGACCCAGCUAAUAAAAGAACUUUAUUGUCAAUUGGGCCUUCCAUUUCCCUUUGGUACUUACUCAGUGGCUAGUCCAGUCCAGCAUUCCAAAAGACAUGUCUUUAAUGCUCUGCGCAAAGGGAAUCCUUUUGGGUGCUCACUGCUAAGACAGUAAAUUCUUGUUCACUGGGUUAAGAAUUUCUAUUGUUUUCUAUUUGAAAAGUCCCAAGUAUUGCUGCUCAAGUAAAUUAUUGUACAUAGAGAUGCUGGAGUUUCACUGCAAACACAACACACAUAAUAAAUAUAGGGAUAGGGAAGCCUCAGAAAGUGUUCCCCUCCUGCACUAUAAAUAGUCCCAGUAGAAAUCAGCAUGCACUCCUCUAUUAUAACUUGUUCUGAAAAUUAAAGAUCAACUUUGAGCUCCUCUUUCCCUCCACAUUAUGGACCUCAGCUACAUCUGUGUGAAAAUUGGGUGUGAGAAGAUGGUUUCCCUCAAUGCAUUGGCAAUUACUAGAGAUCAAUCCAAGGUUCAUGUGCCAGUUAGGUGGAGAAUGUUGUGGAGAAAAAUAAAGAAAGAGAAGAAGAGGUUGCUAUUUGAUUGUUCAACCAGUGCUCAACGAGUCCAUGUUCCUUAUGAUCCUUACACGUAUUCGAAGAAUUUCGAUCAGGGUUUGAUGUGGGCAGACCCCGAUUUCCUCUCUCGAUCUUUCUCAGCUAGGUUUGCUGUUCCAUCUAGGGUUUUCCAUCAGACUCAGAGUGUAGGCAGCUGAUGGGAAAGCAAAACAGAAUGGUUGGUUGGUUGGUUAGUGUUUGAUUUCUGAGUUCAGCUAGCUUUGCCCUCUCUCUCUCUCUCUCUCUCAAAGUAUUUAAUUACCGUAUUAGCUUCAGAAUUAAGUUGUAUGAGUUCUGUAGUUUUUCUUGUUCUUGAUAUAUGCCAUCUGAUUAUCUCUCCUUUUCUGCAAUUAGUUGUUUUGUUAGAAUUAAUUAAUUUCAGGAAUGUAUUCAUCUUCUUCUUCUUAUUCUCUGUCUAGAGUUUCUCUUCUUUCUUCUUUUUUCCUGAUCAAGAUAAACUACAUCAAAAGAAGAAACAAUGACAAGUGAAAGCGCACAACAUACGAGAAAAACAGAGAAACCAUGUCUAAAGUUACAUGGCCUGUUUUUUUUUGUGAGUAAAAAGCACAUGAAAUUGCAAAGUUAACAGCAUCUUGAAAAGCAGGAUAUGUUAUUAGUUGGGAAUUAUUAUCCUUUUCCAGUUGAAUUAUUGAAAAAUUUAAAACAAAACUGUGUAGAAUUAUAAUACAGUAGGGUACGUUUCUGUCUGCACGUCAAUUGCAAAGCCACAGCUGCUUUUUUGGACUGCUGCUGCUGACAGAAUGACUUUUCUUUAUAGUCAGGAACCAAACAAACAAAACCAUUAAAUGCCUUGCUGCUACCAAUUGAAAAGUGUGGACCACUGCCAUCUAAUACGUGUACAAAAAGUAGAUAUAAGCAAGCAUGCAUGUGCUUCAUACUUAGGUUGGAAGACCAGUGGGUCACUGUUUGAAUUGGGAUGUCCUCACUUUCUCACUCAGACCCAUGUUUCAUUUCAGAAAAAUUAUUUUCUUCUCUCAAAAUUGUUCAAACCAAAAGUAAGUAGGGUUUCUAAGCAUUAUGGCGUCAACACGUUUAUAUACAUAUGCAAUUUGGCACAUCUGCCAGUGUGUAUAGAUCUCAAAAUCAAUACAGCUUUGAACAGUUGAGACUUGAAUUUACAACAAAACUGUAUUGAUUUUGAGACUUGGAGAACAAUGUAUAUAGUUUUCUGAACUUAUGGCCCAUAUAAGUUUAAAUUCUCGAGAAAUAUGUCAACAAUGUAUAUCAAGUUAAACCCUCCUUCACGUGUAACUCUUCUUAGCAGAUGGAGAUGAGGGUUGACGGCUUCGAACACAGACAACCAUUAGGCCCCAAAAACUUAUUAAGGAUAUAAUUCAUAGGCAGUUAUUUUAAGUGUAGCAAAAAGACUCUUACAUUAUGAAAUCUUCUUUUCUUUUGUGCUUUCAAUUCUGCAACUUGUUUUAAUGGUACCGUUACUGGUUUGGUAGAUGAGAGAAUCAGAGUACGUGUGGCUGAAGAAAGGGAUGCAAUUACACACACUCCUAUCAUUUUCAGCAAGCAUUCCUUUAUUGGGCAAAGUGUAUGGUGUACAAAAAUGGUCCAAAGGAUAUCUUGAAGACUUGAAUUGGUCCCAUAACAAGAACAGCAACUCAUUUAAUGAUUUUGAAGGGCAGCAGGCACCAAGCUGAUCCUCAGCAGCUAAAAGGCAUGACGAUGGUAAAUGCUUAAAGCUUAUUGUUCCAUCCAAUUUACCAGACUUACUCAACUAUAUUCACCAAAUCCGACCAAAAUAUUAAAUUCAUCUGCAAAGAGAUAAACUACUUUGUCUUUCUCAAAAGGUUGAACUUAACUUUGCCAUUCUAUAUGAGAAAUCAUAGUCACUGUUUUUAAAAUAAAUAAAACUUAAAUGGUUAAGAUGCGACACAUAAAUAACUGUUAUACGCCUCUAAGAGCAUCUCUAAUGGCCUCUUGAAUUUUGAAUGCUUGAUUUGGCGAGCCACACCAGCAAAACCAGCUUGAACAUAAGCUAGAAACUAAUGGCAUUUUAGUUUUCAGUCUUCAUUUAUUAAAAAAACUAAUCACCUACCUAACAAAAUUUGUUGUUUAACUUGUGCUUGAUCUCUGGGCUCAAAGAGCUCUUAAAGCCUGGUUCGUUAGAUUUAGCUGCACCAUUGCUGUUUGGACUUUCAUCUGAACGUACGUGCAUGAUUUAAAGACUGGAGUUGACGGACAAACUAAUGGAGGUAUGAAACUGAUAGGAGUGUAUGCAACCCAAGAAACAAACAAACAAACAAUCCAAGGUUAAAAAUAUAGCAUAUGCAUCAAACCCAUAAAGAAAAAUAAAAGAGAAAAAGAAAAACAAAUAAUUAAUAUUCAUGAGCAUGAGCCUGUCUGCUCUGCAAUGCAAACAGAAUAAGAUUAUAUGAGACUUUUAUUAUACCGACAAAAGGAAGGAAGGACAGGGCUAUUCAAAAGAAAUUCCUAUCUAGUACUAUUAGGGGCAAAAAAAGCUUUGAACAGUUGAAACCUGAACAAAACUUGGAGAACGACUUGUAGACAUGGAAUUUUUGGUGAAUUAAAUUUCACUAAGUGAGAAAAUAAUUAGAGUUUGGUUGAUUAAAUUAUGGGGUUCAUAAUUUGGUCAUGUGGCGUACGACUCAUAAAAUUCGGAUUAGUUGUCAAAAGUGACACGUGUUGACAUACGACGAAGUGCAUCAAACGGUUCAAAGUGAAGACAAAAUUAAAGGAAAGAAUAUUCUGUGAUUGACUUUUAUUUAAAUCAAAUAUUAAUCAAGUCAAUCAAUCAAAGAUAAUUUGGUUAAAUUGCCAAAUUAUUGGAAUUGAUUUUAGAUCAAAUCAAAAUUCCACAAAACAGAGUCCUAAAGAAGGAAAGCUAUUUAGGUCAAGUGUCCUGUAAGGGCCUAUAAAUAGGAGGCCUCAAGACGAAGGAAAGAGGCUAAGAAAAACCUAGUAUUCAGAAGAAACAGAAAACUCUCCGCAUUCUUCACCCUACUUUAGAAGAGCCAUCAAGCACAACAAAUACGUGCCGGUUCUUCCACUCUAGAAAAAUCUGAAAUACCCAAACAAGCUUGUGCUACUCGUUUGAUCAAGAUCAAGUCUCUACGAUCCUUGUAUCAAACACAAAUUUUCUUUAAACACUUUGGAGAUCGAAUCAGAGGAUUCAAUACAAAGAUUGUAACCCUAAAUUUCAUAAAUAUAAAUAUUAUUUUAUACACGUGUUCUUGUCUCAUUUGUCGCAGAAAAUUCGUGUCUACACUACUAUAAGGAUGUUCUGCAUUGGUUAUAUCAAUUGUGUGCUGAAGUACUGAGUCAACCACAAAACAGUUUAUUAUAUGCACAUUAUUACAUUUCAGCUGACAGAAAUGUAUAAAUAACAAGAAAUUUGGCUGAUAAAACUAAAGGCACAACAUAAUAUUAGACACUACGUACCCAUGCAUGCCCCAUAAGCUUGAGUUAUCGGGGAAUGUCAACAAUGUAUAUUAAGCUAAAACUCUCCUUUAUGUGUAACCCUACCCGGAAUGUGAAGAUGAGGGUUGAAGGUUUCGAUCAUAGACAACCAUUAGGCCCCAAAAUCUUAUCAUGACAUAAUUCAUAGGAAGUUAUUUUGAGUAUAUAGCAAAAAAGACUCUUAUUAUCAAAUCUCUUUUUCCCCUUUUUUUUUCUUUCAAUUUUGCAACUUGUUUUAAUGGUACCGUUACUGGUUUGGUAGCUGUGAUAGUCAAGAGUACGUGUAGCUGAAGAAAGUGAUGAAAAAUAGCAGUAGUAGUUUUCUCCUUUAUUAGAUAGCAAUUAUUUUCACAUUUUUGUUGAGCAUUUGUCCCACAUUAGUUGGGAUAAAUGUCUAAGAACUCCUUUAUUCGAAUUGAGUCUAAGGUAGUCCUUAUGAGUCUCAUUUUCUAGACGAGGCUUGUGAAACAUAAUAUGUUUGAAUGUUUACCGAUUUAAUAAGUCAAGUUCUAGCAUUUAUAAGUUCACCAAAUAGUGGACAUGAUUAGUCUAAUUUAAUUCAAUAAUUCAUUCGAAGCAGAACCACCGAACGAGGCCCUAUAUAUCUCGAAUGGUUUGCUCUCAUAACAGUGCUCCUUAAAAAGAUAUUUAUCUACCUCAUGGCUAUAAUCACCCACCUAACAAUGAGCUCUGGAUUCAGAUUGCUCUUAAAGCUGGUUGGUAAGCUUUAGCUGCACCAUUGCUGUUUGGACUUUCAUCUAAACGUAAACGAUUUAAAUUUGUUGAUUAUACAGGGAAAUCUGGCUGUUCUAAAUUUUAGAACUGUCGCAAUCACAAGUUUAGGAAGAAGCACUUUUCUGUAUAACACUAAAGUAGAUUUGAAAACAAUUCUUGACACAGUUGGAGUGAUAUAUCCAAGGCUACAUCAAAGAAAGCCCACAUAUAACAACUACAACAUAAACACUAAAAUCUAUGAAAACCCCACGAAUGGCUUGGUAAACCACCAAACCCCUCUCCAAGAGCUUCACUGCCUCAACCCAAUUAUGUCCAUCUUGAGGGACUACAACUCUUUCUUCCUCUACAUCCUCUCGUCUCACAAGGAUCAUUCGUGCCAGAACAAUUGUUACGUCAGUAAGCAGUAUAAUGUACAGAGGCCUUGAGGCCACAACGCUCUCCGACUUCACCAAGUUCACUCCAAACAACGCAUAAUCAACAUAAGACAACACUACCAAGAAUGCUAUUAUGAGAGCACAGAAAAUGCGCAUGUUCUCCGAUUCUACAAUGCACGAGUUUAAUCGUUUCGAAGUGAAAAACCUUGCCCUCCGAUGUGUGAUUGCAAGUUCUGUAUCGGUUGGUGGUGCCUUUUGAACUAUUGAUGUGCCCAAUUGUGGUUGAACUUGGGUGGUGCCAUCAACACCAUGGGGUUGCAAAGUAUUUGUAGUUGUGUCACAUUGACAAGAUGAAGGUCCAUCUUGGCUUCCAGUCUCUGCAUUGUUUUGCCUUGAAAUGUCUUCAUUGCUAGCUCCAUGUACUUUCAGCAAUGUAGAAUCUGCAGGGGUGCCAUCUUUACCCUCAGUACCAGCUGCAAACCAGGAAAAUUGAUAAGAAAACCACCCAUUAAUCUAUUCAAACUCCAUAUGAAAUAGUAACAGUAGUUUCACAUCGGUUGGGAUAAAUGUCUAAUAACUUGCUUGGUGGCUCCGCUGCACUGGAUUGAAAUUGAGUCGAAGGCAGUCCUUACGAAAUCAACCUCUAGAUUAGAUUUGUAAGAUACUUGUCCGAUUUAAUAAGUCUAGUUCCAACAUUUACAGGUUCACGAAACGAUGAACAAGACAAUAGCCUAAUUUAAUUGAAAUAAUCCAGUCCAGACCGAACCACCAAACCAGACCCUUUAUAUCGCCUAAUGGUUUGCUCCAAUUUGUCUGUCCAACCCAAAGGCAAAGACAAACGAACCCAGAGCACAAAUUUUUUAUUAGACCCAAAAGAGGGACAACUUGCCACCAAUUGUAGAUUUGUCUAUAGUGUAAAUUAAAUUAUAUAUAUAUAUAUAUAUUCAAUUAAUUUUAUAAAUUAACAAAAGCAUGAAACAUAUGAUUUUACAGAGUCAUAAUUAAGAACAUGAAAAGGGUUGGAUUUAAAUAAUUAAAUUAAACAAUUAGAAAAAUUAAAUAAUUAAUGGUACCAUUGAUGCGACGGGUGUGCAGAGCGCGAUCAUGUGGUGGUAAUGAAGGCGAUGGUGGCGGUGAGGGAGGAGGGAGAGAUUGGAUUCGGCCGGUGAUGAGAGCCAUACGAUCCGAUUCUCUCUCUACAAUUCUUCUUCUUCUCUCUUCUCUGCUCGCGUUGUUGUUCGAUGCCAUCUCCUUCCCACUGCUUAUUGGAUUCUUUCUCUGUCUAUUGCCUUGCCUUUCAGCCUUUCAGCCUUUCGGCCUUUCAACGAGUUCGUGCCCGUCAGGUAUUUCCGUUAGAGAUCAAUGCCUUUACGAUGUCGUUUUGUUGGUCAAGAGGCUAACUCUUUUUUUUUUUGGGUCGAAAGAGGGAACUCAAUUUACAUCUACUGGACCGGUUUGGAGUUGGGCCAUGAGCUAAGGUUUACAUAAAAAAAAAGUUUUAAAAAUAAAUGGAUAAAUAUUGUUUUUUGGUUUUAUUCAAUAUUGCGUCCGUUUCAAUUGGUUUGUAGUGUUUUGGGUGCACUCUUUAUAGUUUUAUAUUAUUUUUUUUUAUAAAAAUAAAUGGUUUUAUUCAAUAUCAACAUCCCUAAAAAAUGAAAUAAAGAUCUAGGCUUUGUAAAAAUACAGUCGAUAAUUUUGAUAAAUACACCCAACGACACCAAUUCUUAAGAAAGAAAAAAAAAUCUAAAUUCGCCCAUGCUGAACAAAUAAUUAAAAGAACUAAUAAGCUUAUUAGAAAAUAAACCAAUUAUGCGACACUAGAGAACGCCCAAUACGUGUUUUUGAUUCGUAUUUAUUUAAGUUGUAAUUGCAGAUACUGUAAUUUGUUAUUCUGAAGAAUAUUUUAGGUAUAACUAGUUGUAUACAAUCGGUAAUAGGAAAAGUUUCUUAUAAGAAAAUAAUUAAGCUAUACAAAGACUUUAUUUGAAUUUACAUUUUACCUUUUAAUAUGAAUUUGCCGUUUCUGUCGUUACGCGGCAGAUUGGUAUUUUAGGUUCGAGUAGGGGUGCUUUUGGUUACUGAAUCAUGGAUUUUAAUCAUUUUGUGGGUUGUGUGUGUGAUUCUCUACAGAUCAAUUCUUAUUGUUGUGUUUGAUCAUGAGAGAAAAUUUAUCCAUAUUUAACACUAUAAUUGCUUCGUACUUGUUUCUAUCCCCUCUUAUCAAUAAAAUAAUUUCGUCCUUUAUAAAAUAAUAAUAAUAAUAACAGAAAGACACUAGUAUGACCAAUAUAUAUAUAUAUAUAUAUAUAUAUAUAUAUACUAUCGUUUUGACAAUUGUUAAACUUGAAUUCUAAUAUUUACAAGUCAAUAUUUUUUUGAUUUUAUAUGUUUCUUUAGACAGAGAAAGUCCCACUUCCAAAAAAAAAAAAAAAAAAAUCCAUACACAGAGGAAGUCCAUGGUUGAACCCGUAAAAGCUGGAUACAAUUAAGCACCUAAAUCAUUGGGGGUAAAUGUCAAACCAGAUCCGAAUGGUGAUGUAACCACACUGUUUGCAGUUUGAAAAUACAAAGAUAAAACAACACAGAUGGAAAUUAAAAGCACUUUUGGAAAAGUUAAAAAUCAAUACUCUUGGAGAAUCUAUAUAUAUAGCAAAAGGCAGAGAAUGGUGAAACAUUCAAAAUACUAGAAAAUAUCCUUGGAUAAGGCAAACAUUAAGAAUUGAAAUUAUUAAUUAAAUGAGGAUAAUAUGGUAAAUUCACACUUUUCAUAUUUAAAAAAUAAAAAUAAAAAGAAUAAUAAGAUAAUGGAUCCUAUUUUUAUGGACCACAACUACCCAUUAUCUUUUUUAAUUCUAAAAUAAAUUUAAAGUUAAAAAAAAAAAAAAGCCUCUCGCAGGUGCGGAAGCGCGUGCAGAGAGGCUAGUAUAUAUUCAAAUUAACAAAAGGGACGGUUAUAGAAUCGCAAGAUUAAAUGAAUUGACUUAUAAAGUAAUUUAAUCACCCCAAUUUAUUAUCAUUCAAUCCAAAACUCCAGCUAAUGACGUUAUUAAUGUCCCACAUAUUGUCCUUAGAUUUAGCAUUAGAUUAUUGAGUGUGAUAGCAACACCACCUAAUAUUCCGAUGAGAUGUUAUUAAUCCACUCAAGUUUUAACACUUGGUGAAAAUAUAUAUGUUAAGUUACUUAUUCAAAUUUUUUUUAUCGGUAAAUAUGCACGUGUUAUAAUUUAGACAAAUUACUUAUUUAUGUAGUGUUACGAUCACAUCGAAAAGUUAACCAAGCUAUACAACAUAUUUAUAAUUUUUAUAGCAAACCCAUUAUGUUGCUUCCAAAACAGUCCUAAAUAGUUUACCAUGUCCAAAAUUUUCAGAAAUGGUCAAAAUCUCGGAAAAAUAGUCAAUAAAUCCACAUACGUUCAAUUAUUUCCAUCCAUGUUGCUCCUCAGUAUCUGAAAAUUCCCAUCUAAAUUAAUGCAUCCGUUUUCCAAAAACAAUUGUAUCUUAUGUUACUUUCUUUGCUUGUUUAUUUAUAAACCACUCCACCUCCAAACUCUUUUCACUCAAAGCCAUCGCAUUCACAUUGCACAAAAACCUCAGAAAGAAAAUGCCCAAGAAACUCCAAAAGUAUCUCCGAGAUUAUCUCUCCAAGGUAAAGAAACCACCCCCACAAAUCCUGUUUCCCUCCAGAAAAUGGAUCCGAUCAGGUUGUAAGCACCCAAAAACCCUAUCAUUUGCCAUCAAUCGUGGCCAAAAGGACGCCCACAACGACAAGGAUGAUGCAGCCUCACUCUCGGAUAUUGACCAGUUUUUGUUUGAGAAUUUCAGGUCACUUUAUCUGAAAGACGACGACGAAGUUGAAGACGAUGAAAGUGAAAAAAGGGGUAAAGAAGUCCGUCGCACCGAGGUCUUUUGGGAUAAAACUCUACGCUUGAAAGAAAGUCGUGACGAGCAUCACGGCACUGAAAGCUCAGGCGGGGUUUUGUUUGAAUCCCCUCGAUUCAAUAUCGAUCCACCCGCGGUGGAUCUUUGUGGCUCUCACCGGUUCUUUGUGUCCCCUGGCCGAGCAUCGAGCUCAGUCAUGGAGGAGGCUCGGCUAAGCACCACCACCACGUCCGAAGACUUAGGCUCAAGCUCAAUCUCAACUCCAACCCUAAAUGACUCAGCCACUACGUCGAACUCUAAUAACAAUGAUCAUGCAAAAGACGUCACGCUUCCCAACGACUGCAUCGCCGUCUUGACCUACUCCCCAAGCCCCUACCACGAUUUUCGAAGAUCCAUGCAGGACAUGGUGGAAUCCCGUCUGCGAAAUCAUGCAAAGGUUGAUUGGAAUUUCAUGGAGGAGCUUCUGUUUUGCUACCUGAACCUGAACGAGAAGAAGUCUUACAGGUUCAUAUUAAGUGCCUUUUCGGAUUUGAUUGUGGAUUUGCGUCAAAAUUCGGACAGAAGUUCUGAGAGGUCGUCGUCGUCAUCAAAAUUUUGAAAAUGCAAGAAAAAGGGGGUCGUGGAUUUCAGCAAAGAAUUUGAACAUGAAGAUUGGUGAUACAGAAAAUAUUAAUGUAUUUUAAAGAUUGUUAAUUUUUUCUGGGUUUGUUCUCGGUAGUGCUCACAUGCAAAAUGCUUUGCUUGUAUUAUAGACAUGAUGUAGCUUUCAAGAAAAUGAACAGACUUUGUUUAUCGUUUAAUUUUUUGUACUUUUGUGAUUUUUGGUGAGAUUUUAUGGAUAUUUGAUAAGGUCUUGUCUGUUACAUGUUCCCCGGAGCUCAGAUAUAUAGGACCUUUAAUUUAAUUAUUUUUUUUUGGAGCUUUAUUUUAGUAUGUAGUAUGAUGGGCCAAUGAUAUAUAUAAUAUAUAAGGGUGACGUACAAGUCAUAUGGCAUGCGUAGUACAAUAAUGUGAAACAAUAAUUUCAUAAUGCCAACAGCUAAAAGAGAGAAUUGCCCCAUUAAUCCUAGACAAAAAUAGUGACCCAAAGACAUGUAUAUCGGAAAUAAAAAUGUUUAGUUUCUUUUAUGCAAGGAGUUAUUCCUCUUUGCGGACAAAUCAGUAUGGCAUGUGUGCAUAAACUUCUCUUUUUGUAAUUUUAAUGAGUUAUUUUUGCGUGUGUCAAACUGUUGUUUGUCGGUAUGAAAGAAUAACUUUUUACAUGGAAGGAGCCAAGCAAGUGUUCUUCUAUAAAAUGUUUGUGUUAUUUGUCAUAUAGAUUCUCUUUUGGAUUUGCCACAAUGCAACAUUAUUGAUUUUUAUGUUUUUCUAGUUAUGUGGUUUCUAACUAUAGCCUUACAAGAAAAGAAAAGAAAAAAAAAAAAAAAAAGAGGAAAUUUUGGAUAGGGGUAAUUUGGAAAUAUUGAUGGUUUAUAUAUUUUCGGUCAAAUGUUUCCAUCAGACUUGAUUUUGACUUUCAUGAACAGCUUGCAAAGUACUAUCUUCUUCAAACUACAGAGAAGCCAAAUUCAAUGUCAUAUCUUCACCGAGGACUUUUAAUUAUACAAAGUGAGGCAGAGCAAGAAUGAAUUUUUAUAUAGCCAAAAUUUCAAAUAGAUCUUGAAAACCAAAACCAACUUUUCUAAAGGCAACAUAAACAAGGUCACUGUGGCAGCAGCAGCAGCUACAACAACAUUGCUACAGAAUUAGAAUAAUGAAUGUUUGACUGUCCCCGGGCACCGCCAUACUUACAACGCCCAGGUCACUGUGGCAGUUUGCCACUUGUAUAUUGAAUUGAACUCACUUCAUCAUGAAAGGCUGCAGAAGCCAAUAAGCAAAGUGAAAGCUGCCUUUGCAACUAAUUCUCCAUGUACAAUUAGAGCUGUAGCUUUAUAUUCAACCACAAAACAAACUGUAGCUUCAUGAUCCAGAGCAUCCUUUCGAAGUCUCCUACGCCCAAGAGACCUCACAGAAAAUAGAGCAGUUUCUUAAACCCCAGUAGCAUUGAGAUAAUCCAGAGUAGCUUGACCUUAAAAGGCAGGUUCUUCUCUUAUAUCCAUAUGAAUGGCAAGAGGCAACAAUUAUCUGCUUUAACAUUCAGGUAAGCCCAGCAAAAACUACCAAUCAGAAAGUAAGGUGUGACUAAUAAAUUGUAUAUUUCAGGAAAGAUACUAAGGCCCUGAACUUGACGAUCCGUCUUUCUUCAUCGACUAAACUGUCAUUUUCUAUCAUGUAAACCACAAUGAUACAAGUAUUUACACGUCCCCAACUGCUCUAGGAAAAUUCAUGAAGUUUUAUGGAGCCAGACACACAAAAACCCUCUUAAGAGUUUUAUUUUCCUGCAUGACAAGUAUUUUAUUAGAAUAAUUUAUUCAGAAAAUUAGAGCUAGGCACCUCAACAAAUUUCAUCUUUUAAAACACGAUCUGAACUAUCUAAAUUUUCUGUUACACCUUACAUUAGGAGGAUUUUUUUAUAAAUAAUUUAAAUAAUUUUUAAGUACACGUAAGUAGAUAUCAACCUAUCAAAUUAGAGCAUCUUAAGGUUACAGAUAAAGUAGAAUGGACUUUUAAGUUUAUAUCUCAUUCGCAGCAAACGUUAUAAUUCAGGUCUUUAAGAAUUCUAGAUUUCCUUACCUUGGAUAUCUAGAGCCCGUCAUUUGUUUGAAAAUAGUGCUCAUACAUAGAGUGAUACUUUACUGGGAUAAAAUCCUUAAAUCUGUUGACAAUUGUGACAGAGAAGUAGUGAGAACCUGAAAUAUGAUAUGUCAAACUCAAAGUCUGUGUUUGUGUGUGUAUGUACAUACACAGAGAGAGAGAGAGAGAGAGACACACACACACACACACACACACACACAUUUGUGAUAUUUUACUCAUUGGUUACUAUAAAACUCAUGAUCACCAACCAUUCAUCAAAAUUCAACAGCUCAUAUUCAAAUUCUUAAAAAGCUUUUCUUUUGGAAUAAAUGUUAGCCGUUGGUUUUUGAAACAACAAUUGGUGAACCACAUUUUCAUGCUCACCAAGCAGAAAAUAUGAGUCUAUAUAUGAAGUAUAGAUAGGAGAAUUACCUUUUAAGAAGAGGAAGCCUCUCUCGUCCGGAAAACAGGCUUGCAAUGGAUUGUAAAACUUCAUUCAUCUUCAUAGCUUUGGACUUAAGUGCCUUCAUCAAAUUUACAAAUUCUUUAUAUUCCAAAGUGCUAAGUUUUUCUUCAACCUGUAACGCAUAAGGAAAACAUCCAACAACCCCAAGUUGUUCAUUAACUAUUUAACAGGAAAACUGUGUAAUUCCAGAGAAGGAACACUACCUAACACAAUCCUGACAGAAAAGUUCUAUAAAGUUCAAAUGCCUAGCUACUGAAUUAACAAAUUUACACGAGGGAUUCAGGUAGGCCAUUAGAAGAAGAGAGGGUUAUUUCUGGAAAUGUCAUAGUGAACAAAUGGUAGACUAUUGAUGUAUUUAUGUUUCUCAAACUCGAGGAAGAUGUUUCAAAAGUGUGAAAUUCUUAUUUCUCUUUUUUUUUUUUUGGCCAUUAGCCUUUCUUUUUCUCUCUGUUCUUAGUAAGUAUUCCACAAAUUGUAAUUUUCUUUCUUUGGGACAGAACCACAUAGGUUAAACUUCAGUACCCUUUAAAUCUACUUCAUGGCUUCAGUAUGUACUUUUCAACCAUCCUCCCUCAGCCUAUUGCGGUGACCCCACCAAACUGCCCCAGGAAAUGAACAAGUAAUUACUGCGUGUGACUCAUGCAACAAGUCUCUAAUCUUCCCGAGGAGUAAACACUUUUAACUAUUAUCAUGACAGUAGUUCACAAGACAGUUUUCUGCAUCAUUUUCAGUCCCCGGGUAAAUCCUUUAGUAUCCAAUUCAGGGUAAUAAGUUCUAAAAUAGACUAAACAAUGCAACAAGGAAAUAAUUAAGCAUCAUGCAGACCAACCUGUAAAUAUAACAAAACGAGUCUAAAGCAACAAGAAGCAUGUCAGCUUAAGUUGUUUCUGGAAAACAUGUUAAACAUAUUUUAUAUGCAUUAUGAGCCAUCCCCUAUCAGUUUCUUCUCAAUGGUCCUUUGAAUAAAAGCAUGCAUUAACACAAAUCAAUAGUUUAUAUUGCUUUCCAGCCAUGGCCUAUGAGAAAAAAGCAUUUGCAUCAUCAGAACGCUCACCUGAACUAGAAACUCAGAUCCUCUGGUUUCCUUAUCACCAGAAAGCACAGGGAUGGAUAUUGCACUUUUGUUUUUGUUACUCAGAAACUCAGCAUCUCCCUGUUGUAUGAUCCUCUUGUCUUUACGCAGCAAUGCUGAACCAACUUGGGCAUUUUGUGAACUUGAACUGUCAGAUAUAUGUGAACUCUCACUUCUCAGAUUAAUAUUGGGAAAACCACCAUAUGAAUCAGAAUCUUUUGCAAGAGAUGAAUGCUUAUUAGAGUUGUCAAUAAGAUGUACUGAGUCAUGCUCUGUGCUUAAUUUACACCUUUUUGCAGAGCAAGGUGUUAUUAGUUCUUCGCCUUGUUUCUCAUUUUUGCCAGGAAAACCAAAUACUUUACUAUCUUGACAUUGCAGAGUUUCCCUCUCACAAAUAAGCAGCUUUUUCUCAUUUCGGAAUAGAUUAUUUGAACACUUCAAUGACACAGACUGAUCCUUACAGGAAGUAAGAGAUGAGCGAUUGGCAGGAAGAACUUCCCCUAACAGGCUUGAAAGUUUGUCCCUGCCAGCUUUUAGUAGGGAAGAAGAUGACUUUACAAGGCUGUCUUGACUGACUGCUGUUGUCUGCAAGCACAAAUAACUAAGAAGCAUAUCACACUAUAAAACAACUUAUGACGUAACUAUGAGUGUCUGCAGAGGUAAUAAUUAAAAAUUACCGGAGGGAGAAAUUUAUCCAGAUAAAGUUUUUCUGGAGGUUGCUCAGUUUUCAACUCAUAUAUUUUCCCAGAUGUUCCUGUAAAAUGAAUAAAGGUAAUCAACAUAAGUAGUCACAUCACAAAACAUGAGAAAAUGAUGCUUUACAUCCCAAAGUGAUUUAUGCAAUUUUGUGGCCCCAGACAUUUGUAUCUAAGAAAUUCCAAAAGCUAACAGAUAUUCUAAGUCCAUGUCACAACAAUAACUUAUGGAUUUUCUUUAGUCACGUGUUGCAACUUAUCCUUUGCAGAUAAAAUGAAAAAAGGUAAAUCAGACGCAAUGGUACUUGGAAAUUCAGUUGAAGAUCCCAGUAUGAUAAAAGCACAACAGUAAGGCAACGAAGAGCAUUACCAACUUCCAUUUUACAUCCUUGCAUAUACAUGGUAAAUGAUUUUGAAUUAAAUUAAGAGAAAAUGCAAGUUUACAUGAUGCCUUGUUACUGGGAAGAGAAUUCAUAAUUAACAAAGCUGAUUUGAGUGCAGGCCAGUGCAUGAGCCUAUUUUGUUAAUAUUAUUUAGAGCUAAAAGAGGAGAACAAAAGCAGAACGUGCAGGCAAGAGAGAAAAGACCUACCAUGAACUGAGGUUGAUGAACCUACAGAAUAUGGUUUAUGAUCGAACGGGGCUUCAUUUGUCUGCUCAUCAAGUACUGAAUUUGAUGUAGAAAUUGCAUCUAUAGGAAAAAAUAUGACAGAAAGGUGAGUUUGACGAAUGAUGCAGUGACUGUGUAAGCCAGUGGAAAAGAAUAUGUAAAGACAAUAUAUAAAUUAACCAGUGGUACUGUCAAAGCUAGUGUAAAAGUCUCUUCAAAUGCUUGAUUAUUUACCCUUUAUCAGGGAUUUAGAAAGGUCACCCACAGGAAGGGGGGUUAAGACCGCAUCUUUCCAUUCAAAUGAUGCAUGUGGCAAUACCUUCAUAGGAUUUCCCCACUUAAAUUGCUAGUGAAAUUGUCUAAUUUCAAAACCACGUAGAUGGUUUGAACAAAGCACUUGUUUUCCCAUCAUGACAAAAGCAUGAAACUUUUUCUGUUCAAUUAGAGCAUUGGUCAUAACACAAAACUUGUGAGCCUAGUAAGUUUUGGUUUGUACUUAUAAUGAGAUAAGAAUGUAUAUGUGAUAUGCCCUUCAAACAUGAUUUUCAUAGGAACAUUAACCAUAUUGUUAAAAGCCUCAGAUAUUGAGAAAAAACCUAAUGGAUAUUUGUUCUUUAAACGCACUAUUCUUACCCCAUUUUUCAGUUUGUAACAACUUCAGCUUUGUAGGACCCCGAGCUCCUCCAUCCCGAAAGAAACGGGUCAACGAAAAAAUUACAUCCCCAAAUUUGGAGUAACACUGAAAAUGGACGUAUAAGUACAAAAGUUUUCUUAUAGAUCAAAAGGUUAUUCCUAAAUAGAAAGCACCUUUAUAUGAGGUUGUAUCCAGAGCGAUAUUUGAGAUUGACGAUUUGGUUGUGCAAACCUGUUAAUAAAUCCAAAAUUAAACAAAGUACAUAUACACGUACAAGUCAAGAGGUCAGUGUUGCUAAUUAAACCAUAAACGAUUAUAGAAACCUUUUAGAAUGUGAGCAUCCAACCCAAAACCAAUUGGCAAUGGGUGGAGAGGCCCCAAGAUCUUUUAAAGCACUUAUGCAAGGCUUCCAUUCUCAAAUGUGGGACAAAUACUCUCAACAAAACCAAUAUUUAAAAAAAAUAAAAAAUCUUUAGAGGAAUACAUAUUAAGAACAGAAAGGUUUUUUAACUACAAGCUUGUGAGUCUAAAUCCAACAUGGCAUUUGACAACAAUCUACAAAUCAAAAUAAAAAAUGGGCAAGGCCCAUAAACAUUAAAGAUCAUCCAAAGUGGCUUCAUAUCUCUGGUAAACGCUAUAAAAACAAAGAAUUGAAUAAAUCGUUUCAGAAUCCAGUCUAGUUCAAAUGAAUUCUACCUUUUUCCUAGAAAAGCCAGGUUGUAGAAAGAGCUCGAAAUUUGAUCUAUGGAAUUGGAAAACUAAAGUCAAAUAUUGUAAAUUGUUAAAGGUUAUAUUUGAACUAUGCUUAGUCAAUAAAGAACUAUUACAGUAGAAUUUUAUUGUAUUCUCAACAUGUUUCAUGGGGAUGGGUGGAAGAAAAUCAAAAAGUUUACAAUUACUUACAGCAUCAACAUUUUGAAACUAGCAUCUGGUUGAAAAAGAAUGUAAAGUUGAUCUCACACUAAACCAAAAUUAUGCAUUUUAAAAAUAUAUCUGAUAAGCAAAUAACAUGAAAUCUUAAUGAAAGCUGUCAGCAAGUCGUGAGAUAGCAGCGGGGAAAAAAAACCUUUCAUCACAAAAAAUAAUUGCUCCAUAAUCAUGACGAUGACGGAUUACACGUCCAACAGCCUGAUUUACAGCUCGUAAUGCUUGUUGAUUGUACCAGUCUUCUCCAGUCAAAACCUCCAACUUCAGUGUUUUGAUAAAAUUAGUAGGAAAAUUGGAAAAAUAAACAAGGAAAAGCACCUACUAAUUUAAAGUGGCAUCUCACAUCAAACAUUUGGACAUUACCUUACAUACUUGCCUCUGGGAAUAUGCCUGCUGAUCCAAGUAUUCACGUUUCAGACGAACCUGUUUUAUGUUGUCAUCCCACAAGAGUGGAAAUUUGAACAAGACCACAGUAACGAAUUGAAAUAUACAGUGAGAAUAUGCCAAACUGAUAAUAUCUAGAUAAUUACUAAGUAUUAUUAUGAAAAAUAAUGUUAUACACGCACAAUCAUAUUCGAGGUUCUGUAUGUUUAGAUAUGUUUAUAUGCAUGUAUGUUUACAAAUAUGUAAUUUAUUCACAACGAAUGUUCACUAAACACAUCUUUCCGUAAACAAACUUGUGCAGAAGAUUUCUGUCUAAUGCCUAACUCUCAAUAAUUUCACUCAGUCAGCAUCACAUUUAAGAGGUAGAUUCAGGUAAAUAAGCAAUUGCAGUAGUUUCCAUAUUAUGUUCAACAUUUGUAAUCAAUGCUAGCACUCAAGCAAAGUCAAAGAUAAAAUCACAAAUUACCAGCAUGACUCAGUGUCAAUAAUCAAAGGUAUAAUGCUUCACAAAAUCAACGGUCACAACUUCAACUUUUUAAAACAGCCACGACUUUCAUAAUGCACACAUAUAAAAAGUAAUCUGAAGAAAAAAUGGGGGGAAUUGUCAACCUUAGGAUCAUUCCUUGUGGCAAACGGUAGACCAGUAAUGACUACAGCCCUUCCAGCGUGAUCAGCAAAAUCUAGUCCUUCACUUACCUGACAAAUUAUUUUAAGAUUUCAGGGAGGUCUAGAGCAAAUACAUGUAGUAGAAUAUAAGUGUCGGUAAGCACCGAAAGAAUUCAUCCACAUUAUGAUAGGAAUGCCUCUUGAAAUCGGGCGAGAUCCUGCAAUUCAGCAUUAAUUUCUACUUUUCUAGCCUCAUAGGCAGUCUAAAGCAGAUAGUGUCUGGAACUAUCAUUGAUAGCAAUGUCAUUCAUAAUUUGUGCACUCAUCAUGUGUGUCAGUACAGUGCAAUAAAGGCCAUAAAAGAUUAUGUUCAGCACAAGAGAUGUAUUUCUUUGGGAAUCAUAACACAUUUCAAGGCAGUUUUCUUGUGACUUAAUUGAGAUACAAGAGCCCUUUCACAAAAUAUGACCAAAUAAAGGAUCAUAAAAUAAGCAUGCCUUGUGCAACUUAUUGACUCUCUAAAAUUUGCCUAUUUUCAGCAUCUCCAGUCUCUACUUACCCUCUUGGAGCCACUUAAAAUGUGGUAACCAAUGCAAAUCAAGCAGUUCAAAUGCUCUUAUCAAGUAAUCUCACAUUAAAGCAUCACAAGGCGAGAUUGAUGCCAGACAAAUACAAAAAGGUUUAGUUUUGAAGCAGCUUAUUAAGAAUAUAUCGUAGAUUUUCAAAAACCCCUAUUGUAUGACAGUAAAAAUGUUCAUAACAAAUGUCUGUCAAUAUUCCUCAAUCAGCACAAGAUGAAGAAGUCUUCCAGAGCAAAAAAUUGGACUAUUUCUGAAAAGUCAGGAAUCAGACAUACCUUACCACGGCAAACAGCAAAAAAUACUGCACCAGAAGCUGAGGUGUCCUUCAGCUUAGCCAUAUAGUCCUGCCAACAAUAUAAUCGAGGGAACAUGUGAUGGAAGACUAUAUACUUAUAAAUAAGAAAAAAUCGCUGAUUGCUUGUACAUCAUGUCAGUUACCUCAAUUGACAAAAGAAACAAUGAAGAUUGUCUAGGUUCUACAACAGGUUUCUUAUGUUUGGAGAUUCUUUCCCAUAUUGUAGUUGAAUUGGCAUGGCUCUGCAUAAGUAGAAAAUAAUGUGUCAUAAGACGAAAGCAAACCAAUUUGACCUCUUCACAGAAUCUAUUUGAUUCCUUACCGUAUUCUUCCAGCAGGCAAUGCAUUGGUCCAAAAUGUAGUAAGACGGAAAGAAUACAAGCAAUCCAUCGGGAACGAUUCGAGCAAAAUUGACUGAAACAUGAACGUCAAAGAACAUUACGUUUUUCGUAAGUGAUAAACAAUAAUAACCAGUCUACAAUUUGGACACUCUCCAUUUUCCUUAAAGUUAGGUGCUUAGAUUCAAAAUCCAGUGCCAUGCCUUGGGCUUCCAAACAAAGAUGAUCCUUGGGGUUUAGUUUGUGCCCAGUGGUUUCUUCUGCCAUGACAAGUAAUUGAGGAAUGGACACUUUAGCACUUUAACAGAGGACAACUCCAAACACCACUGCCUCCUCCUCACCCAUUCAUCUUCUCUCGCUCCAAACACCACUACCACUCCCACCAUCUUUUCUCUCUACAAUCUCCCAGCAUGUUUUACAAAAGGGUGGCCAGCUGGUAUGGAGCAUUAUCUGGAAAAUGUUGCUGGGUGGGAUGUGGGUUUUGGGUUUGGAUAUCCAAAAAUUCUGUGCAAGUGAUGGGUUUUGGUUGGUUCAGUGAAAGAUUCAUGUGGUUGGUGUAGUAAGAGGUUUUAUGAUCUUGAUAUAUCAUGGGGAUAAAUUUCAGGAGAGAGAGAGAGAGAGAGAGAGAGAGAGAGAGAUGAAACUAUGCAAUUUGAAUUAAAAAAACAAUGUCACUGACAAGCAAAAGUCAUCACUGACAAAAAGCCGAUGAAGAAUCAAUCACAACUUGUUACAACAAUUGUUGCAUCAGACUGCAACCAACUUCUCUCUCUUCUUUAGAACAACAGUUGCAAAGACAUCAGCAUAAACUGGUUCUGUAUAUUUGCAGCUUGCUGUUAACAAAAUAUGGUACAGGUUCAUUCUUUACAGACCCCUUUACUUCUUCACAUAGCCCACCAAAAUUAUUUUGGUUGAAGAACUUACUCUUUCAUUCAUCCCUGAAUCUUUUCUUUAUCCUAAAUUAACCUUUUAUUUAUUUAUUAUUUUUUUGUUGUUGAAAAGAAACAUAAAUUUAUUAAAGUAGGAAAGCUAAUUACAAAGAGUGGAUAAGGUAUCAAGAAUCUGGGAAAAAACAAGUAAAAACAAGAAAGUACAUCUCAAAAGGAUGUAAAAUAAAACAUGCUCACCAUACGAAAAAUUCUAAUCUCACUUCACAGCUGCUAACAAAUCCAACAUUAUAGAAGAAUAAGAGUAAUCCUUAAGAUCAGCUAAAACCGAUGCCCAUAAAGCUGCCCAGAACCUUUUUCUAUCCUCUUUUGGCUUCUAAAAGUGAUAUUAAUCAAAAUUAGAAUUAAAAAAAAACCCCAUGUUCAUGGCACUGGAAGGCACCUCACUGCCGCCAAAGAGAGGGAGUGAGUGGAGGAGAGAGGACAAGGGAAGGAGGAGGGAGGAGAGGAACAAUGAGAGGAGGGGGAGGGGAAACAGUUUGUUUCAGGGGAAAAAAAUUAAAUAAUUGGAAUUAUAAAAUUACAAGAAAGAGAGAAAUUUGGUGGGCUAACCAAGCAAAUAAGGGGGUCCAAAUAAAACCACCCGGUGUUACACUUUCUGAAACCACAGGAAAUAAAAGUCUCAUGAAAUAAACCACAUGGACCACCCGUUUUUUAGGGGUAACACGAGGUUUUUAGUAUUUUAUCUUAGAUCUAUGUAUGCUUAUUCUUCUUUUUUCUUUUCGGUUAUGCCUUUCCUAGGCCCUUGUUCUUUCUGUGUACGUGCACAACCAUGCUGCAGGUGUGUUUAUGUGUAUUCUGUUGAGUCCAGGAGGCAAGUCUCCUAAUAAAAUACCUUUCUCUCCAUGUCAAGAGCAAGAGGACACAACUUUUGAACCUUAUGAGACUAAAUCAUCAAUGCAUCAAAUGCAAAUCAUCCAAAUUUAAUUUCUACUUAACUUAUAUAGUCAAUGUCUAAGCCUAAUAUGACCCUAUUUACACAUCAGAUGCAUACAAGAAAAUUUUAACGCACAUAUUACCGUGCACCACUGUGACGUAUUUGACAAAUCUAAAAUCCCAUGAGUACAAUGAAUUCAUAAAAGCAUUUCAUCCCAAUAAUAAGAUUGAAAUAUGAAAUAAGCAAAUUUUGUGUUUUGGAGGAACAGGGGUUCAAUGAAAUUAUUAACCCUUUCGCAUUUAUCAAAAUAGGUGGUACCCAGACCAGUGGCAUGUUAAAUGGCAACUAAAAUCCCAAUUUAUUUUACUAUUACCAGCAAUUACAUUACGUACCAAUGGCAUUUCCAAGGUCCCGUUUGUACUCCAGAGAAUCACGAUUUCUAUAAGAGGAGUUGAAAGAGAAACCAGAAGGUCCAGCUGGUACAACUCCAGCCCAUAUCUGAUUCGGGGUAAUAACAUGAGGGUUUUCCAACCGCACAGGGAACUCUCUGAGACACAAAUAAACCAUUGUCUUUAAAAUAAUUUAAGCCAGCCACACUAAAACCAAAUGGAAAAUAAACUGCACAAAAGCCACUUACAGUUUCAGUUCCUGUGCAAAUGAAUCCAAGGGAGAUAAUGUGCCAGAUGUCAGUAUAAUAGAGCCCACAUUCAUCUUGGCGAAUUCUUCCAUUGCAAUUCCAGGAUGAAAACACCACCAGCUGAGUGUCCUAGAUGCCUUACCUAGAACGAGAAGGAUAAAUAUAUCAUUGUCAAUAUCACAGGAAAGAAUGUCAUCAAUCACAUGUCAUGAAUAUGAAAAUUUAAAAAGAUCAAGCUACUGUGCUUGGUGCAGAGUUCAAAUGAGGUCGCUUCAUAAGACAAAAAACAAACAAGGCUUCUUCUUUUUUCAGUCAAUAACAAACAAAGCUGACUAGCAAACUAAUCAGCUGAUUUACAGCAAAAAGGACAAGCCCCACACACUCAUCAGCUCAUUUAUGGCUCUCCACUUCCACAUAACCAAUCUCUCUUAUCCUCUAUUUGGUUGCAUAGAAGACAAAAACAGGAUACAUAUGAUCCUUGAAAAAAGUCGUCUCUUUUUCAUCAUCCAUUCGAUUUUCCCCAAACUCCUAGUGUUCCACUUCACAAUCUGAAAGUUUAAUGAGAGAUACCACUACCGACACUGAUUCAUAGUCAUCACAACACAUAAAUCGUCAAAUACUUCUCAGAACACCUAAAAUUUAUCUUGUAGAAUACAAGGUGUUUCUGCAGCAAACAAAAAUUAAGUACAUAUGUGGGCUUCAUUGAAACGGAAGCUGAUCACAAGACAAUAAACCCAACUGAAGUCUACAUCUGCUGUUGCUUUGUCUAAAUUAAGGCUUCUUUUAUAUACAAGGUAAGCAUCUGCAUACAACAACCCAAAGGGAAAGAAUAGCAUACACCAAAUUGUUUGUUCACCAAUUCCAGCAGAGGGCUCAAAAAUUAAGAGGAACUCUAACUUGAACCUGUCUUUCUAAUAUCACGUCUUAGAAUAUUUGCAUCUCUUCCACUCCCUCUUAGUAUUGUCUACUACACUUGCAUCUGGGCAGACCUCUCAGUUCUAGAUUCAUGGAACUGAGAACGUACAUUCCUGAGCUAAUCUGGGUUUAGUUUGACAUAGAAUAAUUUAGGGAAGUCAUGUUGUAUGACUUGGUUAGAGUGACUUGUGAAAUGACCUGAAAUUUGAACCCCGGAGGGGCAGAGCCACCCAUUUUGAGAUCUAAUUUAGUUUUACCAUCUAAGAUGUAGCUCUCAUGGCCCCAAAUCUGCUGCCCAAGUUUCUCCUAAGCAUAAGUACAGUCAAAUAUGUAGCUAACAAGCAUGCAUAAUGCCCUUUAACUAAAGAACAACUCUUGAAUAUCAACAUCCACCUUACUGAAAAUAUCACCUAAGUAUGACACAUUGUCUUUCUACUUUGGAGCCUUAUAAACUGGAGUUCUAAAUCCCUCAUCCCUUAUUUCAAACUAGGUAGUCCUUUAUUUGAAUGCACUUUAGCCAUUGAUUUGGAGGGACCGAAGGGGAGAGAAAAGUAAAAAGUCAAUAAAAGCUUGAUCAUUAAUCUUUAUCAACAACAUUAUAACAUCUUAUGGGAUUCAAAAGAAAAUCUUUUAUAUGUCAAGUUAAAUGACUGCAUGACACCAUUAGGAUCCCAGAUCUAAUAUUUUUAUAAUGCAAUAAAUAUUAGAACACAAAAAUCAAUCUACUACAGUUACAUGAAACAAUGAAUCUCAGUUCAAAAUAUCAGAAAAGGUCUCCAAUUACCCUUUAAACCAUCAAUUGCGGCUGCUUCAACUUCUUGUACAUGAACCUAAAAUGAACAGAAAGUGUUCCAUAUUCAAACAAUUAGUUCAUUACACAUAAUGGACUAACAACUAAGAUUAAUAUUUGAAGUAAAGAAAGCUCCCGAUAAAGUCCCAGGUGAUAAUAACUAGCAGACCAAUAUCCAAACUUACACGAUAGGAUUUUGCAUGGUUAUUGUCUGUAUCUCUGAAAAUUAAAUUAAACAUGUCACUAAUGCUUUCCAGCCGGCAGACACUUCGAUUUGCCUUGUUCUGAUUUUCUUCCUCCAUAAGUACAGUAGCAUCCUCAAGUAUUUUAAUGAGCUUAGGGACAGUAUCCUGUGUGAUGUUUAAUUCAGCCAGGAGUUCAUAGAUAUAAGGCCCAGGCUUAGUGUAUCCCAAUUCCUUGGAUUCGAUAGGCACUUCAGAAAUACGCUUCUCAAGCUUCAAAAGAAGCGCUGCAAAAUAUGCAUUGUUAAAUUGUAAAAAUUGUGACCAGGUAAAGUUUUAUAAUGAAGAAAGGACUAAAAGAAUAACAAAAGUAUGCUAUCUUAAAGAGAACGUCAAGUAAAGGGGUUUACCGAAACAACAAAACCACUGCAAUAGGAUUUUAAAAGGCAAUUUUCCCAUAACAAAACAUCGCCAGUAUAGCGACUAUGCACUGGAAUACUACUGAUUAGAAAUGGCAAGUUUGGUAAAAAUUGAAUACUGACGAAUGGGCCAAUUAGGUUUACCUCUGAGAAUUGCAAAGUCAUCUGGAUUCUGUGAUUUAUCGGUUGAUUCUUCCCUUCUUUUCAUAGAAAGGUCAAUACAAUUUUUCGCUUCAGAAGUGCAAGCUGUAAGAAGCCAAGAAGGCAAGUCAAAGGAAGCUGCAUCUGCGCAUAUGCUUUCCUGCAUUGUGUUUAGGUUAUGUAAGCAACAAACUUGUGUAAUGAUUCAAAAUUACGAAUUCUGCACGAAUAUGAAGUGAAUAUUUGUUUCAAAGUUGUGUAACUCCCAAGAGUCAAUGAGAGAACAAAGAAUACAAUAUUCAGAAACCAGCAUAUAUAGUUUUCAGAUAUUUACAAAAAAUUGGAGUUUUCCCUGCCCGAAAAUAACACUAAAUUUUAUCUCUUACCAGGUUGUGAGCUUCGUCGAAUAUGAGAAUACUGUUUUUCCAAUCUAUCUGUAGCGAUUUUCUAUACCCAUGAUCAAUAAGAUAGUUAUAAGGUGCAAAUAAUAUAUCAACAACCUUAUGGAGUUCCCUUGAUAAAUAAUAAGGACACCUACAAGAAAGUUGUAACAAGUUAAAAUAAAUAGGAGAGGGUGGGGGGCUGUAAGUUAUCAUUUACUAUAGUAAAAGAACACAGACAAAAGAACCUACGGCCCUAAUUUUCUUCCAGUAUUCACCAAAUCCUCGAUAUCAAUAGGUUCAUCUCCAAGAUGAGGAUUAUUCUUUAAGUAACCUACAAUAGAAGAACCAACAUGUAUAAAAGUUAGAUUUUCUUAAAUGCUAUGACAUCAAAAUAAAAUCCAUGAAGAAGCAGUCAAGUUACUGCAGUAGAUGGCACAGGAAAAAAUUCCUAAACCUUCCUGACCAGAUCAAUCAUCAAUAACAUCAUCCAGGUUAUUUUUAAUAAGUAACUAGUUGGACUUAUUUAGGUUAAGCAAUUUCAUAACUCAAAACUCAUCUGCACAUUCACUUCCAGAGAUUACAGGGGCACACACACUCAAGCACGCAAGCCAAUAAAAAAUCAUGAACAAAUCAGGAAUUUGGGGAAAGAGAAACAAGCAUAAAAAAGGUUUUUACCAAAAAAAAUCCAACUGAAUGCUAAAUACUCAUAACAAAGUAGAGCAAUGCCACACUUUUUUGGUUUUUGAGGAAUGGAGAAUUGUAUAGUCAUCUUAUUCAGCUAAUUUUGGGAGAAUUUUCAAGGUCAAAUCUAUUGUAUAUAAAGAGAUACGUCUAUAUAGGGGGAGAGGGAGAGAGGGCUUUGAUGAUGCGGACUAUCAGUCUCAAGACAACUUAACAUUAGAAGAAAGGACACCACACUUAUCCGGUCGUGUAAAAUAAUGGUGACACUCAAAAUGGCUAAUAUGUUUCCAAGUAUCCUAGGGAAUAAGUUCCAUAACCAAAAUUGUUCGAACAUGUGCUAAAAUUCAGAAAACUUAACGUUACAAGAAAGGACAGCCGCAUACGUGUAUAUGUACUAUGUACACUAACAAGCACAAUAUUUACCAGAACCACGAGAAUAAUGAGCACAAUGACGCUUUUUAUCCUUUGUUUCCUUAGUGCGCCGGCAGAGGAAAUGGCAAGCCUUUGUCUGUGUUCUUCCGCGUAGUAAACUCACUUCCUCAUUAAUGCAUAAUUGUUCUCGAGACCCCAACACUACCAUUUUCGGCCUGCAUAUUGUCAAAUAUUAGUUCAGUUCCUUAUAUUUUUAAAAUUCAAACGGAAAACAAACAGAGAACUCUAACUACAAAGAACAAUUCGUUGGGCAAAUAGAGAAUAAUUCCACACCACCAAAAACAUCUGAAAAUAAAUUCAUUCCUAAAAAAAUUAGGUGUCAAUACUGAUUUUCACAGCUGAUAAUUAGAGUUGCAACAUUUGCUAACGCAACUGUAGCAAAUAAGCUGGUAAUCGCCAACAACUCAACUAAUUACAGUAUCAAGAUAGAUGCCAGAAAUUCUAUGUUAUAUCUAAGUAAUGAAUAUGUUACACUAUCAAUAACUCGAAAGCAAGUUAAAAUCUUUCGGACUAGAAAUCACAUGUAGCCAUUAGGUGGUAAGAUAAAAAUAUACAUGCAGCUAAUGAACGUUUACGUUGCUCCACAAGCUCAAAAUUUGUUAGAUAACACAGGCUUCAAUGUACACAGAACAUCAACCUAGAAAAGCAACAAUAACAUAUGUAGCAUUGUUGAGAUUGCACCAACUAUUUAAAGAUGAAAAUACAAUGAAAUAACAACUACAGAAGAAUGGGUAAGAUUGCAAGUCCCCGAACAGCAAUUUUUGAGGGACAUUGCAAACUGGCAUAAUCCUUUUGAGUAGAAAAGAACAAAUGAAAAGGCACAUGGGACAUUCAUUUAUGUGGCACCCCAAUAUCAGGAAAUAACACUUGAGCUGUGCAUCAAUAGAUGGCAUAGAUACAAGAAAUGGAUGAAGAGAACAACAAAAACAGCAAUGAUAAUAGCAACAGUAAUAAUGAUAUCCAAGGCUUAACCAAUAUUGAAUAAGUGCAAAAUCAUACCAUAACUGACCUGUAAGAGCUUCUUUUCAACUCUUUAAUUACUUGCCGGAUCUGGCUGUGAGUGCGGGAUGCAUAUAUUAUGGUAGGAAGAUCUUUUGUCGCGGACUGUGACAACGGAACACCUGAUUUUUCUCCUGUGAUCUGACUCAUCUUGACAUUAGGACCAGUUGAGAAAACACCCAAACUCUUCCUCCAGGCCAAUGUGGCACAGAGAAGACAAAGGGUUUUUCCAGUUCCAGUGGGACUCUCCAGCAGUGCAUUACUUCUCUGCAGCAUUUUACAUGUGCACACAAGUCACAAACUAAACCACUGAUCCGAAGAAGGCAAACCUCCUGCCAAUGUGGAGUCCGGAAAGGGCAAGACAUAAGCAGCCAUACCCGUUUCCGGAUAGGUUGUUCCCAACCAACAGGUUGACUGGGGCAAGCCUUCCCACAACAACAACAAUGAUAAUGAUGUUGAUAAGUCUUUAAAAUAUUCAUACAGAAAUUAAUUAUGAUCAAAGCCAAUAAGAAGAACACCACAUGAAGAGGAUCCGUGCUAUUAGAGCACCAAAAUCAGGUUACCCAGCAACAGCAUUCUCAAGAUUGACUCCAAAAUCAUCCAAAUGUAUGCUUAUGUAAGCUCAGGUACACACACCUUACAUGAUUUGGAGUUACCCUUAUAAAAAAAAUCUUUAAUUUGACCCCAAGUCCGUUCAACUACACACUUCUCUAUCACAUACACGUCUUAAAAAGCACCAAACUGAAUAUCAAAGACUACCCCAUAACAAAAACAAUUUGAAAAGGCAGACAACAACUUGUGGUAUUCAUAGCAAGAAAUGAACUUGAAAAAUGAAGCCUACUUCUUGGAGAGAUUGGAUGACUUUCUCCAUGUAAACGAGCUGGCAAUCGUAGGCUUCGAAUGGGAAAUCCACAUCGAUGCCUCUGAUGUUGUACGUCGGCAUCUCUUUAGUCUCCGGCGCUGGUAACUAGAAAAAGAGCAAAAAAUUUCGCGAGAAACUGAAGAUUUCGGUCGGAAAGUUAAAAUCUACAAACCCUAGAAGCUAGUGGGGGGAAAUAUAGUCUGGUAGAGUGAAGGAUUGCGUAUUUUCCCGCCAUCUUGCUCUGUUCGGCUGAACGGGUCUCUUCACGUGCGUAACACGUGCGGAGUAUUGUGCUACCUUUUUUCUUAUUUAUUUUUCCUUGCCAUUGGGGUAUUGUGCUACUUUUCUUUUUUUUCAGAAGUGAUUGUCUCUAAUCUAAGGAGAGGUAGAAAUUUUUUAUAUAUUUUUAGUCCAAAUUUUUUUUUAUUUAUAAAAGUUAGAAUGGUAUAAAUUUUAGUUCUUCCAUAAAACAAGUAGGAUACUCACUAAAGUGGGUCUAGACAUCUCACUCAUUUUUGAAGUUGAAUCAAUUCCACCCCUUUCUUAUGUGCAUCACAUGUGAUGGAAUUUCUAGUCAUUCUUUAUUGGUUUUGAAGAAAAGCAAUAAGAUAUCAUUAAAAACAAGGAUAUGACCCAGUGUGAAGAGGAUUAGGCGAGCAUCUCUACACAUAAGAGUUCAGGCAUCGAUCUAACAAAGUAGUCUACCUUCCUUAUGUAUCAGAAUCAAAAUAACUCUUUAUCUCUGAUAGAGCACCCCCAACCCACCCCCAUUAAUUCCUCAUUCUCUUACCACAAAUCAAAAGUUGAGUAAGUUGAGUGAGUAUAAUUGAACUGCAAACUGGGCCUAGCUUAAAAGAUCCGUCCUUAUUUGUUGGAUAGUGACUAUACAGAAGAAUUUUACUAAGGUUAGUCAUUUAUAUAUGUGAGCCUCAUAUGUAUUACUAUAACGGUCAUAUACUAUACACGCUCACAUGAAUUACUACUAAACUUUAUCAAACUAACUUUUAUGACGUCUGCCUAGUGACACUUAGGGCCGCAUAAAUGAUGCACCCAACAUAUUAUCUAGAAUGACUCAAAUUUCGAAACUCUAAAUAAUAAUAUAUGUUUGAAAGAAUUGAAAACUACAGGUACAAAAAUUUUAUAAAAAAAAAUAGAGAAAAAAAAAAUGGAGGAAGAAGGCGGGUGACCUUGUCGGCCAGCAUGGUGGUUGUGCAACCAAUCAUUGCAAUUUUUUUUUUCAACUUUGUUUAAUAAGUUUCAAAUGAAUUUUAUUAGGGUAGGGUUGAGAUUUUGUAAAUAUUUAUUGGGUGCUCAAAAAGAAUAUUACAAAUUCAAAAAUUUGAAGAUGGGUGUCCAGAGACAAGUUUGGGUGUCCCUAGUUUCACUCUAUUGGAUAUUGGGCUUGAUGUUUGUUUCAAAUCCAGCCCAACAAGCAAAAUCCACUUGUCCACCACCCAAGUGGUUCAAAUCAUCAGCAAAAGAUCAAAAAGAGGCGAGUCCCAAGACUUUUAGCACGUGCAUCGCACCAUCCACGACUCUCAGUCGUUCGUUCCUCAUCACAUAUUAGAUUCGAUUCCUCCUUUAAUUCUAAAGAAAAAGAAGACGAAAAAGGAUAAUGGAAAUUUGUAAGAAGCAGAAACCCUAAAGGCUCGUCAUUCUCAUAUGCCCCUGUUUCUCUCUCCUUUAAACCCUAGAACAAGACCACCCUUUUUUCUCUGCCUCCAUGGCUACGACCUCUCUAGCUCUUUUAGCUUCCACAACCAAAUCCACCAAAGCCAUCACCAAUAGUGACAGAUUCAGGAAUUUUAUCUCAUAGGGUCAUAGUGUAAAAGGUGGUGCACGCUGUCGUAGGAUUUUGGCGACAGCAACAAUGGAGGAGAUGGGGGUCGGGUUUUUUUUUUAGGGAGGGGGGGAAGGAAGAAAUGGGGUUUGAAGUAUACUUGUCAAUGGAUGAAAUUUUGAUCUUAAUCCGAUGAAAUUGAUAGGAGAUGGAUCUCACGAUUUUAUCCGAUAAUCGGAUUAUGUUCAAAAUCCAUUAACCUGUUAAGUUAACGGAACAAAUCAAAAUUUGGCUAAAUCCGAUCCGAUUUGAUAUAAUAUUGUAUUUACUAGCAAUUGUGCCAGUGCGAUGCUGCUGGUUUUAAAACGGUGUGAAAUUUAUACAAAGUCGUGAAAAUAUGUAGGAUGUUGUAAACAAGAAGAUGGAGUCCAACAAUGAUGCCCAAUAAUGAUGCUUACCUAUAAAGCUUCCCCCACCCCACUUGUAUUGUUAGGUAGAAGGUGGAAUCCAAUAUGAUGCCUGCCUAUAUGAUGCUUGCCUAUAAAUAAGGCUUCUACUACUUGUAAUUAUAACAGAAAUGGAAGAGAACAAACACUGAAUGAAAGAUCAGUUUUUAUUCCAUUCUCUCCAUCUCAAUCUUCUCCAAUUUCUCUCUACUUUUAUAACACGUUAUCAGCACGAAUUCGCUCAAUUAUCAGCUGAAUUCUCUGAUGAAAUCCAGAUCUCUCAUUCCAUCUCCCUCUCUCUCUGCGCCAAUCAGAGUCAACAAAUUUAAUUUCAAACACCCAAACCAGACUUUUACAACUCUAAGUUUCUGAGCUCUGCUGCUACUGCUUGGAGCAUCAGAAAUUUUUGCAAAGCCAGAAAUGACAAAAACUUACCUAGUCCCGCAGUCCCCAAACCCGUCCAAGCGCAACCUCCUCCUCAUCCACGGCCUCGGAGUCAACGCGAUGUGGCAAUUCGUUGACCUCCUCCGCCACGUCACCCCCCUAUGGCUUGUCAUGCAGGGUCGGCUCGGCAAUGCCAAGCACGUCCUCGACAAAACCUCAGACUCCGUGGAAGAAGCUCAGCUUCGGCUAGCCGACAUCAAAGAAGCCGCGGGCAUCCCCGAGCAUUGCACCGAAGACGUUGUUCAGGUCCCCAAGCACAGCCACGGCGAGGAGGUGUGGAAGGAAUUGCUCCUCCAUCCAACGCCCCCUGUUCGUCACAUUUUAAUGGCAGCCGUUGGUUUCCACUUCUUUCAACAGAUGUCAGGCAUCGACGCCCAUGUUUUGUACAGCCCAAGGAUCUUUGAAAAGGCUGGGAUCACUGACUCCAGUAUGUUGCUGCUCGCAACAGUGGCCGUUGGAUUUUCCAAGACCGUUUUCACCCUGAUUGCCAUAGGUUUCCUCGAUCGGGUUGGACGAAGCCCGUUGCUUCUAACCAGCGUGGCCGGGAUGAUAGCCUCGCUUUUCUGCCUCGGUACGAGCCUCACAAUCGUCGAUCAUGAAUACGAGAAGAUGAUGUGGGCGUCUGUUUUGUGCUUGACCAUGGUAUUAGCCUACGUCGGGUUCUUCUCGAUCGGGAUGGGGCCCAUUGCGUGGGUCUACAGCUCUGAGAUCUUCCCGUUGAAGCUACGUGCUCAAGGUUGCAGCAUGGGAUCAGUUCCACAACCCCAGAAACCUUCUCUUAGCUCUGGUGCGGUGAAGGUGGAUGAAGUUGCUAAUACUAUAUUUCGGUGUUUAUGGGAUAUGUGGCUUGGGCUUCAAUGGCUGUGGUGGAAAGAUUAUGUUGUCGGGCAUGAAUGAUCACAGCCUCCACCCACGAUUUGUUGUCGACCACGCUGAUCUCUCCCCCACGCUGAAUAAUAAUAAUAAAAUAAAUAAAAAUAAUAAUAUAAAUUUAAAAAAAAAAAAAAAAAGGGUCUGAAGCAUCUUUUAAUAAAAACAGCAAAACCCACCGACCCACCGAAAGAAUAAGCGAUAAGAUCUCUGCUCCCUUAUCUUCUCUAUUAUUUCCUAUUAUAUUUAUCUGCUUUUCUUUUACUAACCAUUAACAAAAAUGGACCCUUGGUAAUACUAAACAUAUUAUCAGUGGGAGACCGUUACUAAUACUAACAAUUUAAUUUAUGAAUUUAAUUUAUUGCACAUUUACAUUUAUUUAAAAGGAUGGUGCGGGUUUAUCGUCCACGCCUUUACUUUUAUUUAAAUGUAUGGAGCAGAAUUAGUGCCCAUACAAGCACGUUUAAUUUACUACAAAUUUACUUUACCGCACAUUUAUUUUAUUUACUGUAUGGUGUAGGAUUAUUACCCAUACGACAGUAUUUAUUUAAAAGGGUGGUGCGGGUUUAUCGUCCACGCCUUUACUUUCAUUUAAAAGUAUGGAGCAGAAUUAGUGCCCAUACACGCACGUUUAAUUUAUGAAUUUAAUUUACCGCACAUUUACAUUUAUUUAAAAGGGUGGUGCGGGUUUAUCGUCCACGCCUUUACUUUUAUUUAAAUGUAUGGUGCGGGUUUAUCGUCCAUACCAGUAAUUUAUUUACCAGCAAUUUAUUUUAUGGACUAAAUGUGCUGUAUGAUGAGUUUUUUUACAGUAUGCAGAUCAGGACCAGAAGUUCCUUGAUCCUCAUCAUACAAUUACAUCAAGACUUGAAGAUCCUUGAUGAUGAUGUUAAUAUGAGAGCUGGCAGUCUCUCCGGUACUAUAUUUGUAAACAUGUGAUCGGACUUGAGGGUCCUUGAUCUCUGACAUGUAAAUAAGGACC
rnacentral:lncRNA from 1 species